rnacentral:lncRNA from 1 species
AUUCUAAUUAUUUUUUUUAAAUAAAAUUACACUAAUUAAUAAUUAACAGCUAAUAGAGUUAUUACCUUUGAUACACUAUUUAACCUAACUAAGUAAAAUAUCUCAACAAAAAACAAAAAAAGAUUGGAAGUUAAAAAUGUCUCAAUAAAAAAAAAGUAAAAUUUGAGGAUUCUAUUUCAACUUCGCACUGGGUCAGAACAGUUUCCUUCAGUCUGCCACUUCUUAUGGUUCCUCAAGCUUGUCACACCUCAAAACACAUUUUUUGGACCUGCUCGAACAUGUGCUAUUAUCACUAAACGGGCAAGAUUUUUUCUACCUAUACAAAACUAUAAUAUACACCAAUCAGUACAUUUCUUACAAGAAUAAGUACAAGCAAGUACCGAACUUAAUUAACUUCUAAUUAAAUCUUUUAUAAUAUCAUUACAUUUGAUCUUAUAUUGACAAGUCCCCAAAAUAGUACAUGUUUCAUUAUUCUUAUAAAAUCAUACUCUCUAGACCAACUCGUAGAUGAUCCAUUUAGCUCGCAAUACCCUUGUCGCAGUCACGCAUCUUACUAGCAAUGGAAGGCUAAAAGCAACAAUAAUAAUAGGAUGAGAACUUGAAAUAAGUUCCUAGUGGAUGCAAUUGUUGAAAAUGAUGCUCUACACCCACUUAAUCUAUGGGAGGUAUAUGUUGAUCAACAAUAAAUAAUGAAAACUACUACUACAGUAAAGAUAUAUAAAGAAAUGUACAACUGCUAUACCAAGAUACAACUAUGCCAAGUAAGAUGUAAUUAUGCCAAUGUCCAAGGAAAGAUUUACUCAAGUCAUUAUUUUAACUCUAAUCGACUUAUUAGUUUGCUUCCAAUACCAUUCUAAACAUGUUAGAGAGAGCCGAGAGUGAUCGAAACUCUUUCUAAUUGAUAAGUACUUGGUCAAAGGUGAUUAUACUUCCUCAAGCGAUGACAUGAGGGAGUCGAGGGUGAUCGAGCUUCUCCCAUGAUGACUUAUAGAAGGUCGUGACUUGUAGGGUUGCAAUCCCCACAAACAACGUCAAUGCUUGUUACUUAGUUUACAUGCUAGGUUUCAAUUGAUGAUAGGGUCAAUCUACGAGUUCAUUCACAUAUUUAUUUCUUCUCCAAAAAUAAGGUCUCAUAGUUUGCUUACACUUUGCUAAGUUUAUAACCAUAUGUUUUCGACUAUGUUCAAUGCCACUACCAUGUCCACUAAGUUCAUAUGUCCUUAUUAUUGUGUUCUACUUAUGAAGAAUGCAACCAAAACAAUAUAGCAUAACAAAAGAGAAUGAAAACUCCUAUAUGCUUUGGUCAUGUACCUAUAACCCCUCAAAAAUUUUCCAAAACUUACCUCAUGCAAAACCUAUCAAGAUUAACCUUCUCUUACUCAAGAUAAUAUGGAAGCUCUUACUCAAGAUAAUAUGGAAGUGUAGGCUACAUACAUAGAAAUAAGAAUACUUUAAACAAAUAAAAGAUCAAACCCAUCUAGGUGACAUUCCCCACUUUGUCUUUGAAAACCCUCUUUGGAAGUAUCUCUUGAGUUCUUGAGGCUUCCAAGAAACCGUGAAAAGGGAGUUCAAACCAAGUUAAAACCUUUGAAAGCUCAUUUAGAAAAUCCCAAAAUUGAAUCCUAAAAACUUCAACUCACCUCUACUCUUCCAAACAAGAGAAAUGAGACUUGGGAAAGUUGCUUCUUCCUUCUAGAGCUCCUUCCAAGUGCCUUUAUCCUUCUCCAACCUUACUAGAAGAUAGAGCUCCAAAGUUCCAACAAUGGUAGCCUAAGGUUCCUUUUCUCUUUAAAGAAAGAGAGGUGGGGGAGGGAGAGGAUGUCAACUUAUGCCUAUAUUGUCACGCCCUGAACCCGAGGCGCAACAGACGCCGCAUACCUGCUAAACUAGCAAAUUUGCAAGGCUACAAAACCAGACAGAAACUAGCAAAAAAUGAUUACCACUUUUUCACUAAAUUCAAAUAAUCAAAGAUGCGACUAAGAAAUUGAAUUUCAACUAGAACCAAACUGAAUUCUAACGUCUAUAAAACUAAAGCUUACUACGAGAUACAAGAGAAAUUCGGUCCAUUAAAUACCAUAAUUAAAAAAGGUAGGUACGAAGAAAUAACGAAACAAAAGCAGAUAACAAACGAUCAUCCACGUAGUCCAAAGAUUCACAUCCGAAAAUACUAGAUAUAGAAAUAAAAGAGACUAAAAUCAAAACUAGCUACGUCUAACGUUCACUCGGUCCCUACCCUGCCUUGCGAAUCAAUCUCGAAACUUGGAUAAGCAACCAUACACCACAUUAGUUGGAUUAAGCAUACAAAUAAAUAAAUACAAAAAUUAAUUUAAGCGACUGAUUUUUAAUUUGCAAAAUUUCAGAAAGCAAGAAUUAUCCAACCUUAAAAUUCUGAUCAGAUUGAAACUAUGAAUUUACAAAGCAUUUCUCUUUCAGUAAUUAAACACAAUAAAUAUUAAGUCUCUGGCAACUAGCUUUAUUGUGUGAUCCGUUGGUAAGAUCCAGAGGCACCUGGAGGCGCAAACAGAACAGAGGCACCCGAAGGUGCAUGUACAAAACAGAGGCACUUGAAAGCGCAAUUACAAAACAGAGGCGCGGAUAGGCGCAGGCACUCGAGGGCGCAAUACAAAGGCGAAGCUUGCUUCUAUAAAAAAUACAUGUCGACAUGGCCAACAUUAGCAUAGUAAAAUACCAAGAGACAUUAUGAUUCAAAAUUAUCCAGUUACUAAUUUAUAGAACAGAUUAUCAAAUUUCAAAAAUUCUUGUGUUAAAAGAAUUUGUCAAUCACAGCAGAAGUUCAGUUCUCAAAUAUGUUUAGUAAUAUGCUUGACCCUUAAGUUAGAAUCUACAAAAUAAAAAUUUUUACACAAUCAAAGUGUUUUCCUAAAUUAUUUAGCGAAAAAUUAACGGGUGUCCAGUUCGCUUACCUCAAAAGCGGCUUCUAAGCUAAAAAGCUAUCCAGUCGAAAAUUGCAUGAAAAAUCAAUCACCGGAACCUAAAAUAGAGAAAUACGAUUUUCUAUAAGCUACUUAAAAUAAAAUUAUAAAGAGGACAUAUAUACAUUUAGAAGGCAAGCUUAUACAAAAAUUUGAAUUCGGAUAGGCUCACAUAGGUCGACAAUGUCGGCUACAAAUGCAUGCAAAAGGUCAAGAUGAAGCACGAAAGAGAUUUAGAAUAAUAAAUUCGAUGAAACUCAAUUAACAAUCAAGAGGAUAAUGAGUUUCAAAGAUUAAAAUAUUCAAAGAAGCAAGAUAACAUGAAUGAAGUUUUAAAUAAUAAACGAAGGAUCUAAUGCUCGAAAAGAGGGUUUUCAAAUGUUGAAACAUUGAUUUGCAAUCAAUAAUUAGAUAGAAUCAAGAUUAGAAAUAAAAACAAUAUAUGCCUUCUCUUAGGCAUUUUGUCGAACAUGUAACGGACUUUCCAAUAAUAUGUAGAAUAUGCAGAAUUUAAUACCUAAAUCACAUAGAGAAUACAUGGUAAAAAAUUACUAAUAUGAUCAAUCUAUAUUUAGGUAGAUACCAAUCAGAUUUGAACGAUCUUAGAAAUAAUCAUCAAAGAAGAACACCUAACAACAAUCACAUAAUUAUCAAUAAAAUUUAGAUGCUUUCAAGAAUAGGUGUAGAGACAAGAAUGAAAGGAAUGAACCUUCUUAAGGAUAGAAAUGACGACGAUGAAAUGUCGUCGACGGCGAAUCGAAAAUGCCGAUGGAUGAGGAUUGCGGCGGUGGCCGUGAACGAUGGCGACGACGAUGACGACGGUGAUCGGGAUGAUGUUGGCGCGCAUGCGGGAGAAGAGGGAGGGCCGUACGGACGUGAGGGGCAAGAGAGAGAAAGAGGGAAAAUGAGAGGUGGGCUCGGCUGAGGGGGAAUUAGGGACUAGUGUUUAAUUAGACACAAUAUGCCACCGAGUCCCUCAACAAUUGGUAUUUACAAAAAGGGUCCAAAUUUAAAAGAAUAAGGGUCAAAGUAAAAGGAAAAAGUACGGGGUGUUAUAAUUGCAACGACCCGACCCGCUAGCAACAAAUAACUCAUUGGGCUCAAACCAUCGGCCCAAACUACUUAAGCCCAGUAAUUAUUACUAGCAUAUAGGCCUUAUAUAAACUGAUCGAAAUCAGUAUCCCAUCCGAUGUAGGACUAUUAGGGCGUUACAAACAUCCCCUGUUUAGACCCUGACGUUCUCAUCGGGUCCAAACCAAAUCACAGACAGACAAAAUAGGACCAGAAUUAACAGGCGAUGUGAGAUUCUAGAGGUGGCUCCUACGGGUUCAAGAGGUGGCUCCCACUAAAUUCGUUGGUGUAGCACUUUGUCCCGCAUAGCACUUAGCUCUCACACUUCCGACUCGUAUUCGGCUCUGAUACCAAAUUGCAAUGACCUAACCCACUAGCAACUUGUUGGGCCCAAACCACCAGCCCAAAAUACUUAAGUCCAGUUAUUAUUACUAGCGUGUAGGCCUUAUAUAAAUGGAUCGGAAUCAGUAUUCCAUCUAAUGUGGGACUAUUGGGGCGUUACAAAUAUGUAGGAUAUAUCAGUAGCCCUACUAAGAUAAUGAGAUACAUAUAUACCCUGCAGAACCUACAAUUACAUAUAACUAGACCUGGCAAACAGGCAGGUUAGGUAAUCCACAGGCGGGCCAUUAUACACGCGGGUUAUUUGGGCAUGGCUUUUAGGGUUUAGGCAAUUUUUAGGGGUUUAGGGUUUAGUGUUUUAGUGUUUUAGGGUUUAGGGUUUAAGGUCUAGGGUCUAGGGUCUAGGGUCUAGAAUAUUGCACCAACAACAGGGUUUAGGGUUUUAGGGGUUUAAGGUUUAGGAUUUUAGGGUUUUAGGGUUAGGGUGAAAGAGGUGUGUUGGCUAUGAUUGUGAAUAUAUAGGAGUGCUGUAAUUGCACUUAGGCCCCCCAAAUUAUUUAUAUUUGCAAAUAACGAACUGCUACCUCCACGCUAGGUUUCCAGUACUCCCCUGAUCUUUUGAGCGCCCGAAAGGUCUAAGCUACAACUCUAGAGCCCUUGGGUUCAGCAUCCGAAAGUUGAUCCAGAUGCCCACCCUGUCUGCCCAAUGCUGAUUUUAUAUGCCAGUAGGGCAAACCGAGCACCCAAUUAAUUAAUGAGCUGAGUGACCCUCCUCUCGGGUUGAGCAUCUAGAAGUUGAACAUAGCGCCCACAUGAGCAGUCCGAAAGGAUUUCAAAUGUCCACAGGACGAUUUAAAGCAUGAAUGUUUAAUCCUUCACAAAUCUAUGCUCUUAGGUAGAGCGUCUGCUAGAAUCGAGCACUUGACCAAACUAUCUAAAAGGUUUCAUGUCGCACCCCAAUAAUCCCACAUCAGAUAUGAAUGGGGAUGUGAUUGGAUAUUUAAGAGACUUAGACACUAGUAAUAAUAACUGGGCUUAAGCAUUUUGGGCUGGUGAUUUGGGCCCAACGAGUUAUUGUUGCUAGUGGGCUAGGUCGUUACAUUUGGUAUCAGAGCUAGUUCACUAGCCAUAAGUGUGAAAUGAGUCUUGGCUGAGCCAGGGUUGGAAUGACAGACUAAGUCAGGGCCGGUGAUUGACAGACUAAGUCAAGGUCGGAAUGACAAAGGCUAGCGAGAUAAGUCUCACAUCGCCUGGUGAUCUUGGGCUAUGUGUGUUUAAGGCUGAUGAGGACGUCAGGGUCUAAACGGGGGAGUCUGUGACACCCCUAUAGUCCCAUAUCGGAUGGGAACGGGGUUGUCAUUAGGUUUAUAAGAGGACUCCACCUUAAUAAUAAUAACUGGGCUUAAGAUUUUGGGCCGGUGGUUUAGGCCCAACGAGUUAUUAUUGCUAGCUGGUCGGGUUGUUACAUUUGGUAUCAAAGCCAGUUCACCAGCCAGUAAUAUGUGACGAGUCUUGGCUGAGUCAGGGUCUGAAAGACAAUGUGAUAGGCUAUGUCGGAGUCUGAAUGACAAGGUGACCGGCUAUGCCAGCAUCUAGAUGACAAGGCUAGCGAGAUGGGUCUCACAUCGCCUGGUGAUCUUGGGCUGUGUGUGUGAUUGGACUAACGAGGACGUCAGGGCCUUAACGGGGGGAGUCUGUCACACCCCAAUAAUCCCACAUCAGAUAUGAAUGAGAAUGUGAUUGAGUAUAUAAGAGACUUAAACACUAGUAAUAAUAACUGGGCGUAAGCAUGUUGGGCCGAUGGUUUGGGCCCAACGAGUUAUUGUUACUAGUGGCUGGGUCAUUACAUUUCAUGUGCCCAAAAUACUUAUUUCGUUUUCUGGAAAGUUUGGAAUCAUAUUUUUACUUAUUUCAAAACUUUGUUUUGAUCCGAUUUAAUUCCAACUGAUUCCAAACUCAAUCUAAACUUCUCCAACCCUAUUUUAGUCAUGCCUACAUGACUUUAAUAUGUACCUUGCCAAUUUCGCUAAAGUUUGGCACACUAUACUGAGUUUCAGUACAUUAUAGGCUGGAGUGAGAAAGAGUGGAAAAGUUUUUGUGUGUGCAUGAAACAGUGAGAAAGAACACACAUAUACAUUUGUAGGGCCAUGCGUAGGGCUGGCAAAUGAGCGAGCCGGCUCGCGUUCGACUCGCGUUCGACUCGAUACUUGGCUCGCUCGAGCUAGACUCGAAAUUAAAUGAGCUGAGCUUGAACAAAGAAAAAGGCUCGAAAUUCAUUUCAAGCCAAGCUUGAGUAUCAGCUAUUAUUAAUAAUGUCCAUGGUCUUUUAUUCCAAUCCGAUGUGGGACUAUUAGGGUGUCACGGAUAAAGUUGUCCAAAAUACUCGAUAUACCGUACCAAAUCCGGAUCCUACCCGAACCCUAUCCGGAUCUGAACCUGACCCGAUAAAAAAUGGAUAGUAUAAGGCUAAAAAAAAUUAUCUAUUAAAAUUUUGAGUAUGGGUCCAGAUACUUUUUACCCGUACCUGACUUGGACCUGACCCGAACCCAACCUUUUAAUGAGUAGGAUUCGGAAGAGUUUCCAAAUCUGGACCCUGAACUGGACUCGGAUCCAGACCGAGUGAAAUACCUAAUAAUAAAUAAAAAAAUUUGAAGUUGAUGGAUCAAUGUUAAUAGAACUUACAAAUGAAGGAUCUCUAUAUAUUUUUAUCAUAGUGAAAACCCUAGUCGCUCUAUUUACUUUUUUUUUAUUUUUUAUUUUACUUUUUGCUGAUGCCAAAAUUAAAAUUAACACGCCGACCUAACCCACAUAUGAGCUAAAGAAAUAAGGACACGUGAUACACCAGGAGUCGGUAAUAAGGUGCCUGAAGGUCAAGAGCGUUUAGGCGGGAACGGUUGAGAAAUAAGGCGUAACUUCCAUGUGAAGUGGGGCGUAACUUCCAUGUGAAGUGGGGCGUAACUUCCAUGUGAAGUGGGGCAUAACUUCCAUGGUCAUGGCUACACCAUUUUCCCUACUACAAUAACCAACUAAUAAUGUGAGCUGAUAAGAUAUUAUAAAUAGUAACUUUGAAGCCUGUAAUAGGGGUCUUUCUCCCCCCUGAACGAGAAGACCACCAUAUUUUCAAUACUUUUCUUUCCUGCAUUUAUCAUUUUCUAGGAGUAGUUUACAUGUAAUCUUUUUUUUACCCACAUUUACUGCUUUCCUAGGAGUAGUUUUUAAGUUAGAUCUCUCGAGUCUGUAUGCCCUACGGGCACACUCUGUUGUAAUCUAGAUUUUCAGAGUCUGUAUGCCCUUUGGGCACACUCUAUUUUAUUAAUAUAUGCAUUCGACUCUUUCAACCGACCAGUUACUAUGUAUUCCAUAUAUUCGGCUCAUCAACCGACCCAAAAUCUUGUGCAUUCUGUACAUUCGGCUCUUCCAGCUGAACCGAGUCUAUAGUAAAGGUCUUCGAACUCGGCUGAUCCGAUCCCUCGUCAGCCAAAUCGCUUGAUCCAGUCGAAGGACGCAAACUUCGAGGGUCACUAAUCGUAGCCGUUCCGCAUCCCUACACUCUUCCCGAGGAGGAUCUUUGACCGGGUCAAAGAAUAAGGACGUUCGGCUCCUAACAAUUUUUGGCACGCCCGGUGGGAGACCAAUUUAGGUAAAUUUAUAUUUUUAUUGAAAUUAUGGCUGACGAUAAUGCUAUGAACCUCCGGAAUAGAGCCAUUCCCAGGCCUUCAGGGAAUGACCAAGCUAGUAGCACCGAAAAUACGAAUGAGAAUCAGGCGGUACUACUUGUUGGAGGAGAGACUAGUGAACAGUCGGUUCAUCAAGAGCCGAGUCUAAUUCAGGCACUCGGCUAGAUGACCCUAGUCCUGCAAACUGUAGAUCAAAAUAUCCAUCAAACUACCGCUCGACUAGACGCGGUGCUGGCAGCCAUCACAGCCUACAAUGAAAAUAUUAUUCGAAUCAGACAAGUACUUACCCGAAACGAGCAACCUUAUGGGAGGCAAUAGGGGCCCUUAACUGUGCUGGUGCAACAAAAUCCCAUCACGCCGGCGGUCUCAUAGGCACAACCCCAAAUGGCUCCUUUCCAGACUAUUUAUAGGCCGGCAAAUAUAAAUGUCGACCCGUACUCGGAGAUUGCAUCAGGUUUACCUCCUUCACCAGCUUACCAGCCCUAAAAUGUAGCGGCUAGGGCUGGGGGGCAGGCCCCAAAUGUACAAGGGAUCAACCCUGUGGUACAAAAUUUCGGUCUACCGCAAAGACCAAAUAUAGCACAAGCGCAAGCACAAGUUCCCUUACAGGGGAACAAUAAUGAAAUCUAUGCACAGAUCGAAGAAGCCAUCCGAAAUACUUUCGGAGUAGGUGCAAGGCCGGCAAUGCGGCCUAUAUUUAGAUAACCCUAUCUUGCGAAUAUAGACGCAGAGCAUCCAUACCCGGCAAAUUGGAAAAUGCUAAAAUUUAACAAAUUUUCUGGGGAUGAGACCAAAAACACGGUCGAACAUGUUGCACAGUUUACGGCACAAUGCCGAGAAGCCGUUGCAGAUCCGCUUUUAAAACUUCGAUUAUUUAACACGUCAUUAACUAAAACGGCGUUUACUUGGUACACAAAUUUACCAGCCAAUUCCGUUUGAGAUUGGGACGAACUAGAAAGAAAAUUUCAUGAGCAAUUCCAUAGGUCGGAGCCACAAUUAUCGGUCGCCGAUUUGGCUUUAUACCGACAAAAGUCAGGUGAAACGGUCGAAGAGUAUUUGAACCGUUUCAAAAUAGCCAAAAUUUGGUGUUUUAUGAGAAUGCCGAAAUCAGAGUUCGCCAAAAUGGUGUUAAAUGAUCUACAUUUUAAGAUAAAAGACCAUUUUGAAGAUAAAUAUUUUUCUAACAUAUUUGAUCUAGGUGUUAGAGUUGCCUAAUGUGAGCAAUUCUGGAAGGAAAGUGAGGACGAUCGACUACAAUGGAGCCGAUAUAAAAAUCAAAGCAAAGGCAAGGAGAAAUCCUUGCUAGAAGAACAGUUGGUUCAAAAAGAGCUGAGCCAAUCAAGUGAAAGUGAAGAAUUGGCUGAUAAAGCCGAGGUAUAUGCGGCUGGUAAAGAGUCACUUUCUUCAAGGAGAAAUCCUUGAUAGAAGAACAUUCGGUUCAAGAACAGCCGAACCAAUCGAGUAAAAGUAAAGAAUCGACUGAUGAAACCGAGGUAUAUGUGGCUGGGAUAAUAAAGAGCCGUUUUUUUUAAACCGACCAAAACCAGCGAAACUAAAGCUUGAGUCUCGGCUGUGCCAUUGAGCAGUCGAUUUGGCACCAAUAGUCAUCCGAAUGUUCAUUCGAAAGACUAUUGGGGGGGCAUUAUUAAUGCCAAAAUUAAAAUUAACACGCCGACCUAACCCACAUAUGAAUUAAAGAAAUAAGGACACGUGGUACACCAGGAGUCGGCAAUAAGGUGUCUGAAGGUCAAGAGCGUUUAGACGGGAACAGUUGAGAAGUGGGGCGUAACUUCCAUGUGAAGUAGGGCGUAACUUUCAUGUGAAGUGGAGCGUAACUUCCAUGUGAAGUGGGGCGUAACUUCCAUGAGAAGUGGGGCGUAACUUCCAUGAGAAGUGGGGCAUAACUUCCAUCAUGGCUACACCACUUCCCCCACUACUAUAACCAACUAAUAAUGUGGGCUGAUAAGAUAUUAUAAAUAGUAAAUUUGAAGCCUGUAAUAGGGAUCUUUCUCCCCCCUGAACGAGAAGACCACCGCAUUUUUAAUACUUUUCUUUCCUACAUUUAUCGUUUUUUAGGAGAAGUUUACAUGUAAUCAUUUUUUUACCCGCAUUUACUGCUUUCCUAGAAGUAAUUUUUAAGUUAGAUCUCUGGAGUCUGUAUGCCUCAUGGGCACACUCUGUUGUAAUCUAGAUUUUCUGAGUCUGCAUGCCCUUCGGGCACACUCUGUUUUAUUAAUAUAUAAAGGCACUCGGCUCUUUCAGCCGACCAAUCACUGUGUAUUCCAUAUAUUCGGCUCAUUAGCCGACCCAAAAUCUUGUGCAUUCUGUACAUUCGGCUCUUCAAGCCGAACCGAGUCUAUAGUAAAGAUCUUCGAACUCGGCUGAUCCGAUCCCUCAUCAGCCGAAUCGCUUGAUCCAGUCGAAGGGCGCAAACUUCGAGGGUCACUAAUCGUAGCCGUUCCGCAUCCCUACACUCUUCCCGAGGAGGAUCUUUGAUCGGGUCAAAGAAUAAGGACGUUCGGCUCCUAACACGUUUUUUUUAAAUUCUAGCUAUUUACUGCUUGAAUCUUUCUUUUGAACAAAUUUUAUUAGACUAUGUGCAACUAAUUAAAAUGCAAGUUUUUUAUAGUUAAAGAUUUAUGGUUUUCUCAUAGAUGGUUUAAUAAAGUUUAUAAAAAGUAUAUGCAUACGGGUAUUCGUACCGGAUCUAGUUUCGAUCCGUACCCGAUCCAUACCCGGUCUUAAGCGGGUAGUAUACGGAUAGUCACUACCCAAACCCGCUCAAAUAGACCCGAUGGGCAUAUUAUUAAAUUAAGUACCAGACCCAAACCUUAUCCGGAUUUAAAUGGGUAGGGUAUAUAUAUUUUUUCUAUCUAUUUCUUUUUAGGGUCAGGGUAUAGUAUAUCAACUACCCAGACCCGACCCUAUCCACAGACACCUUUAGUCACAGACUCCCUCGAUUUAGGCUUGACAUCCUCAUCACCAUAAAAUCACCAGGUGAUGUAAGACUUGUCUUGCUAGUUUUGUUAUUCAGACCUUGAUAUAGCCCGUUAUUCCUAAAUCCUAGCUCAGCCGAGACUCAUAUCACACUUCUAGCUAGUUAUUGGCUCUGAUACCAAAUGUAACGACCUGACAUGCUAGUAAUAAUAACUCGUUAGGCCCAAACCAUCGGCCAAAAUGCAUAAGCCUAGUUAUUAUUACUAAUGUCCGUGAUCUCUUGUAUAUUGAAUCAGAAACCCAUUCGCAUCCUAUGUAAAACUAUGGGUGCCAAAGAAAGCGAUUAUUAAGAUAAUAGCCGAACUUAAUCUCUUUCUUUAUCUAUAUAUCUAUACUAUAUAUAAAAGCACGUAUUUUAAAUCUAGAUUUGUUGAGAGGCCCUUUUUUCGCGUAAAAAAAAAUUUUAGUUCAUCUUUUUUCUUAUGCAAAAAAGAUCAUUGGGCCACGCGGGUUCUCCAUAAUAAUUAUGUCCCAAAAAAAAAUCAUAAUGAAACAAACUUUUAAUUCUCCUUUUUUUUCUAACGGAUAAUUUUUUUAUUAAAUAUUUGUAUAUCAUUCAAUAUUUUUUCAUUUUAAAAUGAAGAUUAUCUCAAUCCUAUCAACUAAUAUUUAGUUGUUAUAUUAACUUUUAUUAAUUGCAAACAAUAAUCAUAUUCAACUUUAAUUUAAAACAUAUAUCUAAAUUUUUAUUUUAUUUUAUUUUAAAUUUUUAUUUCAUCUAAAAUUCAAAGUUGAAAUUUAAUUAUAUAAUUUAAAUUUAAACUUAUGAAUUUUUUAAUUAAAUUAAAAUUUGAUUUAAAUCAUAAAAUAAAUUUAUUUUGGAUAUUGAAUUUGAAUUAACAGUUAAAAAAUUCUAAUUAAAUUGGACUAAAAUUUUUUUUUAUUUUGAAUUAAAUAUGAAUCAAUAUUUCGGUGCUUUUAGUUUGAAACAUAUACUAGGAUUUUAGAUUCCUUAUAAAUCGAAAAAUAUAGAAAAACAUUUCAUGUAUAUAAAAAGAAAAAAAAUAGAACUAUAUAAUUAUUGUCAACAACAACUAUUUGAAUUUGAAUUCGAAUAUGGGAUAUUUUCGAAUAAAAUAUAAAAGAUGAAUUUACUUUUUAGAAACUAUAAACUUUUGGAGAAUUAAAAUUUACAAGUUUAUGUUGAAAAACCAUCAUACUUAUCCAAUUUUCUGCCAACUGAAAGAUAUGUACUGUAAAUUAUUCUUCGUAGGCGCCUUAUAAAGAAUAUUACGUUGUCACGCCCCGCUCUCCGCCAAUUUGGUCGGGUUCGGGCCACGUCAACAGACGCCGAACGGAUAAGGCCUCCCUUGCCUGCCCAAGGCUCCAACCACAAGUAUAAUUAAGCAAUCAAACAAAGAAAUUUGCAAUUAUACAAGGCUUACACGAGGGCAAGCAAUAACGAAAGCGAAAGCUCUAAGCUAAAACAUACAACCAUAUAUAAUAUUUGAUUACAUUUAAACCAAAUACUAGUAAACUAAACUAUUACAUCCAUUUGCUUUCAUUCAUAAUAUUUUUUACAUCAUAAUCGUUCUCCAAAAAUACAUGAUUUGCUUUCAACUUUUAUAACUAUAGAUCAACAAAAUAAAAGUUGAAACAUGUACUCAAAAGGAAUGACUAUGUCACGCCNAAAAAUAUGAAACUUUAAAUCUAGCCUCAUUAAAAUAUUUCUGGCAUCCCCGCCAAUUUUCAUAAUUUUCUGAGACUGUGCAUUUUCUGCUAAUUUUUCUGUCCCGUUUCCAACAGAAAAUUCUAGAUCUUCUGUUUUCAUCCCGAUUUCAGCACAAGUCACUUCUGACUUAUGUUUUACUUCUCUGAAUCCAAUAAAAUAGUAUCUCAUACUAUUUUUACUUAUUUUCACUUUUAUAUUAAAAAUCCGGUAUGUUACAUUCCACCGCAGCCUCACCGGAACCAUUUAAAUGGCUUUCCAAUCGAACGUACACUGUAACCUCAUGAUUUUCGAAGUCCGGUAUCUUACAGACUAAAUGCAUAUACUCCGGUGGCCACUAGCUAUGGCGCAAUACCCUUGCCUCGACCCUCUGCCGCCCCGCUCGCGCUCGGAUCUGUAGGGUUAGUGGUGUGAGAACUACAACGAAGUUUCCAGUGGGUUCGACAACCGACCUCGCCGACUUACCCACUAGGUCUAUUUACGCAUAAGUAUUUCAAAGAAAGAGAAAUAGUAACCAUACUAAUGUUAAUACUAUGCCUGCAAGAAAGCUGUCAGAAGAUAUAUAAUCAAAUAAGGAAUGAUUAUGCAUGCAUGCUUUUCCAUGAUUUUACUUUGGCUUUUACCCAAUCUUACCGGUUAACCUUGUUAACCCCAAUAACUCACAACCCAAAAUCUCUUUCGUUCGGGGAGGCUCUAAGCACUGCAAGACCCGAGGGACCGUCUUCGGGGACCGCGCUCCCCGUGGUGACAAUUCCGGAACGCACCGCUUGAGGGGGAGCUACCACCCUCCAGCCAAGACUUAUCGUGAGUAUUGAUCCAAUUCCCACUUAGAAAAUGUAUAGCCACUAGCCACAAUGCCAGUAUCAUAAUGAUUUUUACCUAUUUAUUCAUGCCACUCUCUAGGUCAUUCUUGUCAUAAUGCCACUAAUUGUUAAAACUUGUUUAACGAGUCAUUUCUCGAUGUCAAUCUUGUCUCUAUUGUCAAUGUUACCUUUGUUUACUAUUAUCAUAGUCUCGGUCUCACAUUCACACAAGUAUAGGGUCCUCCCACAAACAUGUCCACUAUGGUUCAUAUCAAUCUCUAUGUUCAUCUACGUUAGAAGCAUGUAAUUGAAGUCCAACCAUCUUUCACAAGUAAUUAACCCUAAUAUGCAUGAAUGAUUAUUGACAUAAUGCUCAAAUAAAAGGUGAGAUAGACAUAGAAGGGAAUCGAACGAUUCCGGAGUACACCCCCUCCACGAAUAAUUGUAGAAGGGUUGUAGUUCGACUCUCGUGCUCUACGAACUCCGAUCCCGCAUGCUACGGCGGUCUACAAUAAUUUUAGAGCCAAAUUAGGCUUUAUACUACAAAUUCAUAUCUAGUCUUUUCGUUUCGACGAACGGAGUUGUCCCACGCGUCGGGAAUGCCCCCAAUUAGGUUUUGAAGAGGUCAAUUUAUCUCGAAAACACUCGGAGGCAAAAGCCCCAAAAUCCAUGCCCUAAUAAUGUCAUAUAGGGUUUUCUCCUAGAUUGAUCUCAUUCCUAAGCAAAAGUUAGCUUAGAAUCAACUAGGAAGCAUUCUAAUACCAUCACAAAGCCAUUCCAAGCAUCCCUAGGGCAUCUACUUUAAACCCUAGGUGUUCACCAUUAGAGCACAUGAAGCUCCUAUGGGUUUCAUGGUGUUCAUGGCACUAAAGGGUUUCUAAAGCCUCUAAGAAGCUCAAAACACUAAAACUUAGGGUCUAAAACCAAACUCUAGAAGUAAUCUUGCAAGAACUCACCUCUAGUCCCAAGCUCUAUCAAGUCCUCCUUGUUGGAGAGCUUCUAUAACCACCAAAACCUCCAAAAUCUCCUUCUCCAAGCUUUCUUCCAAGCUCCUCCCUUGCCCUAGAUGAGUUUUCUAGAGAGAGAAUGAGAGAAAUGUGAGGGAGAGGGUGUGUGGGGUGUUGGCUGUGAAGGAGAGGAGUGUUGGGUAUAUUACAUGUUGUAACAUUUGCAACUAAGCCCCCCAAAACUCUAUUCUGCAAUAGAUCACUCCCUGCUACCAGAGCCAAAGUGUACCGGUACAUGGCAUUUUGUACUGGUACACAAUUACGCAGAGGCCAACCCGAGAGCAGCCUUCUCGGAUUUUACCAAAGUGUACCGGUACAAACCAGGAGUGUACCGGUACACUUCUGUGAAAACUCAAACCCGAGAGCAGCUUCCUCUCGGGCUGCUGGUCUGUACCGGUUACAACUCGAUGGUUGUACCGGUACACAUGCUCCAGAAUGCAGUUUUAGCUCCGAUUCGAUUCUACUUCGCGCCGGUCGAUGCUAAAACAUUUCUAAUCUCUCUUAAACUUAUUUUUUAACCCUUCCAACAUUGUUGGAAUGCUAAAUGCAAUUUGUCCAUCCAUCUCCUUCGCAUAUUUUAGUCAAUUUGGCUAAAGUUCGAUAUUCGUUCUCGAGGUUUUCAAUAUGUUACAUACGUGCUCAUUGAAAAAAUAAAAUUUUUGCAGUAUUCACUAUUUGUCAAUUAACUAACUAAAAGUAAAGGUUUGAAAAAUAGAAUAAUUUAAAAAUAAGCCGAUCAAAUCGACUUUAAAUUAGAAGUUUAACUCAUAAUUUCAAAUGUGAUUCCAUAUUUUAAUUUAAAAUUUGACAUUAAUUUAAAAUUUUAAUAUUUGGGUCUAUAAAUGGACUGCUUCCAAUUAAAAAUAAUUAACUAAAUUGCACAUAAAUCAAAAUUGAAAGAUAAAUGUGUUGAUAAAUAAAUCCAUGUCCCUAAUAUUUAUACUCAAAUUAUGGAAUUUAAAGAAUUUUACUCAUAAAUUUGAAUCGGAAUUCAUUAAUUUAAAAUGUAGAAUUAAUUCUAAUUUUUAUUUAGGCAUAUAUUAAAAAAAUUUGUAUAUUAUGAAAUAUAUAUAAAAAGAUUUAUAGUAUAACUAAAAUGAAAAGAUAUAAAACUUAUUUGGAGAUAAAUAAAGUUAGAAAAAAAUUAAUUGAUAAAUAGAUUCAUGCCAUCAAUUACUAUUUAAAUUUAAAAUAUAAUUUUGAUUUUAAUUUAAUUAAAUGUAACGUGCAUCGAACGUACACUAUAUUUAUAUAGUUAGUUGAGCUAGUAUAUAUCAUUAAUAAUAUAAAUAGUAUUUGUUAUUAAAUAUUUUAUCUUUACAUUUUUACUAUUCCACGUAACAUCAAUUUGCAUAAAAAAUCCAUUAGUUUUGAGCUUUUGCAAAAGUAGGCCACAUUUUUGGAUUUUGGCCAAAUUUUCAUAAAACUGACCAAAAUACCCUUAUUUCUUUUUCUCUCUUUCCUUUUUUUUUUUUCUCUCAUUCUUUUUUUUUUCUCUCUCCGAAGAGGGCGGCGGAGGUGGAGGAGCCUGCCUCUCCUCUGUGACGCGCAACCUCACCCUCAUCCUCAGCCGUGCACCCUCCCUUUGCUUUCCUCGCUUCCGACCCCAUAUCGCACUGCGAGCCUCAUUUUUUUUUUCUCCAACCCUUCUCCAUCUCCUCCCCAGCUCUUUGCAAUAGUAAAGAGGGCAGCGUCAUGUCCUUUUGCUCUUAUUUUUUUUCUUAUUCUUUUUUUUUUCUCUUCGACCCCCCUACCGCUCCGCGACCUUCGCAUCCUUUUCCCCUCCGUUGCCGGCAUAGGCACUGACGCCGGUGUAUAAGAAGGAAAACUCGGAGCGAGUGCGGGUGAGAGCGGAGAUGAGAAAAAAAUAUGCAGAAAAUAAAAAAAAAUAAAAAGAAUAAAUAAUAAAAUAUAAAAAAAUAUUUUUUUCUAUAAGCAAAAUGAAGAAUCAGAGAGAGAAGAAGAAGAUGAUGAAGUUGCAUUAUUUCUAGGGAACGUUGUAUUAUUUUAAAGAAAACUUACACUCUUUGAAAAAAAAAAAAAAAAUUUUUUUCGAGAUGAAAGUUGCACUCUUUGAACGAAAAUUGCACUAUUUGGGCAAAAAUUACAUUGUUUCUCCUCCUUUUUCUUCUCCUUCCUCUUUAUCUUUGUGUGUUUCUUAUGUGUCCAUCUCUUCUUCGCUCUCCACCUCCGUCGGCAGAUCCUCCACCCUCGCCUCUGCCCUGCGCGCCCUUGCCCGUGGCCGCACACCCCCCACCCUCAUCGCCUCCAAUCCCGCCGAGGCCGCACCGCGACCUUCUUUUUUUUUUUUCUCCGACCCUCCACCGCCGGCGAGGAAAAAAGAGGGUCAGAGGGGGAGGAAAAAAGAGGGUCGGAGAGAGAUGGACGGAGGAUCUGCCAAUGGGGGUGGAGGGCGAAGAAGAGAUGGGCGUAGAAGAAACACACGAGAACGAAGAGAAAGAAGAAGAAAGAGGAGGAGGAGAAACAGUGUAAUUUUUUCCUAAAGAAUAUAAUUUUUGUUCAAAGAGUGCAACUUUCACCUAAAAAGGUAUACCUUUUCUCUUAAAGAGUGUAAGUUUUCUUUAAAACAGCGCAAACAUUCUUCUGAAAUAGUACAACAUUUUUCUAAAAUAGUGCAACUUCAUUAUUUCUUCUCCUUUCUUACAUUCUUUUAUUUGUCUUGUAUAAACAAAAAUAUUUUUGAUAUUUUAUAUUUUAUUCUUUUUAUUUUUUUAUUUUUUGCAUAUUUUUUUCUCGACUCUGCUCUUACCCGCACUCGCUCCGAGUCCUCAUUCUCCAGUGCCGGCGUCGGUGCUUGCGCCGACGAAGGCGGAGGAAGAGGAUCCAACUCUGUCCUCGUUACCGUCAUGGAGGGUCGCAGAGGUGGUGGAGGGGGGUGUGACACCCUAAUAAUCCCACAUCGGAUGGGAAUGGAGUUGUCAUUUGGUUUAUAAGAGACUUAGACACUAGUAAUAAUAACUGGGCUUAAGCAUUUUGGGCUGGUGGUUUGGGCCAACGAGUUAUUGUUGCUAGUGGGCUGGGUCGUUGCAAUUGGUAUCAGAAACGAAUACCAGCUGGAAGUGUGAGAACUAAGUGCUAUGCGGGACAAAGUGCUACACCAACGGGUUUGGUGGGAGCCACUUCUUGAACCCGUAGGAGCCACCUCUAGAAUCUCACAUCGCCUGGUAAUGGUCAUGAUCUAUCUGUUUGUGAUCUCGUUUGGACCUGACGAUGAUGUCAGGGUCUAAACAGGGGGAGUUUGUAAUAGUCCCACAUCGGAUGGGAUAUUGAUUCCAAUCAGUUUAUAUGAGACCUACACGCUAGUAAUAAUAACUGGACUUAAGUAUUUUGGGCCGGUGGUUGGGCCCAACGAGUUAGUAUUGCUAGUGGGCUGGGUCGUUACAUUUUCUUAAUCUGUCACGCCCCGGGGCCGAUUUUAAAAGCCUUUUUAAAAUUCAUUAUCAUUUUGAAACAAAGUUGCGGAAGACGUGCUAAUUUUUUUUUUUUUUCAAUCUGACCCAUGUGACGUACAGAUCCGCCACAAAUACAAAGUUUUUCUGUCCACUCGGACAGAGUCUCCUUUGUAUUUGCACGGCGUACCAACUAUACAAUAUGAUCUCAACCACAACCUACAUUUACCAAUCAAUAACCAAUUCAUGAUAUGCAUUUCCAUACAGCUAACGAUCCUUAGAGAUGAUGCAUGCCUCUAAGCACUUCUUAGGCGCUGGAUGAUGCAAUGCACAAUACAACAAACAUCCUAUUUAAAAGUGCUCCCCACACGGAAGAUUUUGUUUUUAAACUCUAAUUCAUUCAUUCAUGAAAACCAUUCGAAAACCUUUUUAAAACUGUUUCCCACACGAAAAUUCUAUUUUGAAAAUCAACUAUCUCGAAGGGUAGAAAACCACGAUGCGUAAAUAUGUAUAAAUACACAAAUCCGAGAACUAAAUAUCCAUAAAACCAAAACCAGUGAUCCACAAAAUCUCUAAUCAUGUAUAACGGAAAUCACAAACAUUCAAAUAUCUAACUGAACCAUUUAUUAUUAACAAUUACUAAAUGCGGGAAGAAAUAUAACUAGGGUGACGGUCGCUACUGCCGACUAGCUAGAUCGUCCUCCCAUCGAGCCCAAAUACCAACUCCUCGUCCAUGUCACCUGGGGGGUGAGAAACCGCAACCAUGGUUUCCCAGUGGGUAUGACAGAGCCACGAAGGCAAGCCGUAAUCACCGAAAACAAAAGAAGCUAGAACAACAGAUAUGAACAUGAUAUGAUAUAAGAGCAACUACAGUAGUAAUAGAAACAUGAUAAUAACUGAGCAAGAACAAAACUACUACUGUAACCAAAAACUCAACUGAUCCGAUGCCUCAAAGGUGGAUAGUCCAAACCAAAAGCUUAUUCAUGCGUCGUCAACGACCUAUCCGGAUACGUACACCCCUUGGUUGGUGGCCAAACCAACCUGGUGUCUAGAAUACACAGUGCUGUGUCUAAAUCAUGCUGAUAUGCUCAAAACGAAAACCGGCAAAAAGAGACUGGUGCCUUGGCCGAAGCCAGGUGUAAGAGCGUACAACGUCGAACCACGAUCAAUCAGAUCGAAACACACGACAAAGGAGUCGAUGUGUUGCCUGGACCCAAGGUCUACAGAUAUACAGUAUAUAUAUGCAACUUGCUCUACAUGUCUAUCAACAACUAACAAAAUGCAACUAACAAAAUAAGAUAUACGAAUGAUAAUCAAAGCAAAGACAUGUAGAGACUACGAUACUAAUAUGAAAGAACAGGGGAAGGGUGAAACGAUCUCACCGACUACCAGCUCGAAGCACCCACCUGUCAUAAUCGCGUCGGAACACUGGGUAAGCACAAGUCAACCGGACCUACGAAUAUCCGACGGGUCAGUAACCAACCUACUCACUCGAAGCACGAGACUCACAAACCCCCCACACAAGUCCCCUGAUCGGUUUUCCCAAAACCGAUCACCGUAACUUACCGGCAGUCCCAAAAACCACACCGGGACGCCGUCGGGACCCACUAAGUGUGCCGAAACUCACCGACUCGUGUCACGUGUCACCUGCUGUCCAGCAAAUGUAACGACCGAGCUCACUAGCAAUAAUAACUCGUUGGGCCCAACCACCGGCCGAAAAUGCUUACGCCAAGUUAUUAUUACUAGUGUCUAAGUCUCUUAUAAACCAAAUGACAACCCCAAGAUCACCAGACGAUGUGAGACUCGUCUCGCUAGCCCGUCAUCCAGACCCUGGCUCAGCCGAGACUCGCCCCACAUGUCCAGCUGGUGAACCGGUUCUGAUACCAAAUGUAACGACCCAGCCUAUUAGCAAUAAUAACUCUUUGGGCUUAACCACCGGCCCAAAAUACUUAAGCCCUGUUAUUAUUACUAGCAUGUAGUUCUCAUAUAAACUGAUCGGAAUAAGUAUCCCAUCCGAUGUGGGACUAUUGGGGUUAUUGUAAAGAGUUAGGGAGGCAAUGGAGAAGGAUCAGGGAGAAAAACAAAAAAAAAAGCCGCGACACGGCCUCGGAAGGGUUACAGGCCAGAAAGGCGGAGAGAGAAUGCGUGGGUGAAGGCGAGAGUGAGGACGAGGACGCGCAGGACAGAGGUGAGACGUACUGUCUCUGCCUCCGCAUUUGCCUCCGCCGCAUCUUCGGAGAGAAAGAAAAAAAAAAGAACAAAAAAAGAAAAAACUGAAAAUCUAAUCUGAAUCUGCAAAAUCCAAAAAGACAAUAUAGUUUUGCAAAAACUCAAAACUACUAAAUUUUUUUUGCAAAUUGUCCAUCCUAGUUAUAGUCAUCGAAGGUUGGCAUUAAACAUUAUUAAGAAAAAUAUAUAAACAAUCGUCCUUUUUAAUUAUUAGGAACAAUACCAAAAGAGCCCAACCAAAAGAAUACUUUAUCCUUUUUAGAUAAUGAUACCGCCGCAGAUUUGCGAUGUGAUCCGCCCGUGCGCAGGGAAUCCUGCCGUGCGCACGGGGCAUAGAGCAAUUGAACUCCGAUCAGGCCCAUUCUGCGAGUGUGCGAUGGAACACGAUCGCCGACGAGCGCGAAGCCGGAGCUUGAUUACCGAACGUGAGAAUGCUGCGGCCGACUCCUUUGUCAGUCCGCGUGUCCAGACAGCCGAGCGCGAACGGCCUACCACCUACGCCGACGCCCGCCAGCAAACCCUAAUCCUCAUGCUUUUUCCUCCAGCCCCAGCCCCUAGUAUUUUUCUUUACUAUUCUUUUUCUUCUUCUUUUUCUUUCUUUUUUUUUUUAAAGAAAAAACUGUUUCAUCUUAUAGGUUUCCUGUUGUUAUACUUGGAUUUAUUAAUCUUUUAGGCAUUUUUUUUGGUCAUAGAUGAAAACGAAGUCUUAAUAGUAUCUUAUUGGAAAAAUAUGCAUGCAACCUGAAAUUUGUAGUUUGUCAAAUGACUCCCUAAACUUUCAGGUUUGGCAACUAAACCUCGUAAUUUUGGUACCAUAUAUGUUUUUAAUUUUUAAACACUAAUUCUAUAUAAUUUGAUGUGCUGGAGGAAAGAUUUUACUUUUUUAUUAUUGUUAUAAUAAUUAACUAACUAACAAUCUAUCCGCCUAACUGAUAGAUGAUUGCUUAAAAAUAUUUUGGAAGCAAAAAAAAAGGGUUGCUUUCAAAUUUUUAUAUUUUGUUGCGAAAUAAACACUUUGGAUGAAAUGAUUGUAAAUAAUUUGUGAUGCCCCAACUUCCCAAGGGGUCACCCAUCUUAGAAUUACUCUAGCCCUAGCACUAUCAGCUUUCUUAAGCUUUUGGACUUAGCCAUCGCCUAAAAUGCUAUAGCCGGGUUGUGAGUUUUAACCCUAUUAUAUUUUAUAUAUAGGACUAUCUGGGGUCUCACAUUCUUCUCCCUUUAAGUCCUGACGUUCUCAUUAGGUUUAGACUCAGCAGGCGAUGUGAGACUUAUUUCGUUAGCCUUAACCGACCUUGAACGUCAUUAGGUUCAGACUCACCAGGCGAUGUGAGACUCGUCUCGUUAGCCUUAAUCGACCUUGUAGGGGAGCCGUGCUCUAACCACAAAAGUCAUCAGCAUGAGAGCGUAGCUCCCCGCUUUACAACCUGGCUUAAUCGAGACUCAUUUGGCACUUUCGGCUGGUAAUUGGCUCUUAUACCAACUGUGACGCCCUAACUUCCCAGGAGGUCACCCAUCCUAAGACUACUUUUGCCCUGGCAUGCUUGACUCUAUUCUUGACUCUCUUAACCUCUUGGGCCCACCACCCAAAAUGCUGUAGCCGGAUUAAAAGUUUUAGCUCUAUUAUAUCUUAUAUAUAGGAUUACUUGAGAUCUCACAUAAUCUGUCCCUUCCUGCACCUUUGGAUAUACAAGAUUUCAUUUAAAAAAAUUAAAAACAAACACAAUACCAAACGCGGCCUUAUCAAAUAGUUCAAUUGGUCCUUGUUUUCGAACAAAGUUGCUAAUUGAAUUGCCGUGUUAGUGGCGUGUCUUAUAUAUGUGAUCUUGUAUAAGUUUCAAGAUAUGAAAUAACCUGCUUAUUCUCUUCUCACAAAUGAAAUAAUGGGACUUUUUGUCGAAAUAACCUCAUAAAAAUUCAUAUUUGGGUAAAUAACCCUAUGAAUUUUUUUUGGCAUAAAAAUUUGUGCAAAUUUGAUGGAUUAGUUCUAAAAUUUCAUUUUUACCCCCCUAAUAAGCUAAAACCUUAAUAAACUGAUCAUCAGAAAAUGCAAUUUUCAUAAUCUUAACAUAUUUUUAAAGAAAAAAGUUAAUUACAUAAGAGUGAUAGAUCAGACACUUAUUAAAAAAUUUUAAAAAAUCAAGCCAUAAGCUAUAAAAUUAAAAACUAUAUCCUAAAUAUAUAGAAAAACACGUUUCAAUAUUUUCCCCUACAAUAUAUAGUUGAGGGUAAAAUCGUCAUUUACUAACUAUACUAGUGUUAAAAUUUCUUUUAACCCGGAUAGGCUUAAAAAAAAAGGGUUAAUUGCAUACAACUCUCUGUAAACAUAUCGAAUAGCAAAUAUAUCCCCACAAAGUUUAACUUUUUCUUUAUCCCUGCAAAAGUCUAGUGAUAUUCAUAUUUGCCUCUCUGGUUUGUUACCGUUAGAGCACUAUUUAUUUUUUAAUAGCAUUUAAGUGAAAUGACAUUUUUGCCCUACAAAUAUAUCCCUCCAAAAGGCUCAACUGUUAAAAUUAUGUAGAAAUUUUAUCCCAAAAAAUAUUUUACCUAAUAAUAUAAGAGGGGUAAAUGGUCAAUUUAAUUCAUUCACUAACCAGGGUUAAAUAUUUUACUCAUGGUUAACUAUAUUUUUCUAAGGAAUCCUAACAAUAGGGGUAUAUUUGAAAAUAGUAGGACUUUUGCAGGGAUAAAAAUAAAAAGUUGAACUUUGUAGGGAUAUAUCUGCUAUUCGAUAUGUUUACAGGGAGUUGUAUGCAAUUAAUCCUAAAAAAAUAACAAUAAGGGCAUUUGUGAGAAACUCAUAUACUUAAGGGGAUAUACGUGAUAUUUUGGAUUUUGAAGGGCUAUAUGAAAUUUCGAAACUUUACAAGUGUAUGCUUGACAUUGCUUCAUGCUUAUGUGCCUUGGUUUUUUUCCUUCUUUUGCUAAAGAAGGUUAUGUUCUAAAUAUUAUUAGGAUUAUGAUGUUCUUGUACUGUCCUUUAUUUCUUUUACUCAUGUCUACUAUUUUCUAAGAUUUUCUUUUCUUCUUAGAUUGUAAUUUCCUAUUUUAUACAGUUGUUUGCAAUGCAGCUCUAAUAUAACCAUACAUAUAUAUUUUUGAUAUUAUCUCGCCUUGAUCCUAUCUAUCUUACUAUUACAUUAAUCGAGCUAAUGAAACGAUCUCAGGUUAGCUUGAAUCAACUGUAAACUAAUCAUGAGCUGUUCUUUUCCAGUUGGUCAUGAUUUUGAGCCGAACACGAACUAGCUUGAAACAUUUUCGAUUUGAUCUAAGGUUGCUUGUGUUUGGCCUGUUUAUACCCCUAGCUUUAUUUAGUUCUCUACAUCUAAAUUAUGAUUCAUGUCCUUGUAAGCUGUAGGCAAUUCAUAUAAUCUUUUUCAGGGACUGAUGGAAAGCCUAUUGUGGCAAUCAGGUAUGAUACACUUGACAAUCACCUUUGUCCUCUUUAAAAACUAUUAUCCAACAUUUGCCUGAUUGAUACACUUGACAAUCACCUUUGUCCUCUUUAAAAACUAUUAUCCAACAUAUGGGGAGUAAAAAGUAGAGGGGAAAAAAAUUGUUUAUGUCUUAUUUCCUUUAUGGAGAGAAGGGUAAUGGUCAUGGGAUGUGGCUAGCAAGCGUGUCAUACAUUGCGACUGUGGUGGUAAUUCUGUUGGCUUUAGUCACACUAACAAUUGUUAAUGUGGAUUAAGACCAAUUGAACUCCACUCAUCCUUUGGCAUUAUCUAAAUAAAUCUUUAAAAGGAAUUGUGCGGGAUCAGUCAUAACAUACAUCUUUGGCAACUUGAUCUUAUUGUAAACUACUUCAUCCCUUGAACAAGUUGUGACUAAUCUUCUCUAAUCAUACCUGACCAUGUCAUCUUAGGCCUUCCUCUACCUCCUCUUAUAUCACUUUGUCUUUCUUGCUUUUUGGAUUGGAAAAUUGUUUUUUUUUUUUGUCAUAUAAAACCAUAACUAAUAAAUAAUCCUUUUUUGCUGUCCUUGAUUGAGCCUAACUCAUGUUAGAGCUGAAAUUUUCAUGUCGAACCCCAUACUCCUUUCUAUGAACACCCAUUCAGAUUAAUAUUCUCACUCGCUACACCUAUCAAAAUUGUGAAUAUAAAGAAUUAAUGAGUGAAAUAUUUAAAUAUAAAGGAUAAGGACUAGAUGAAAAAUUAGAAAAAGAAAAUUCACCUUCAAGUUGUGCACCUUUUUUCUUUUGCAAAUACUACAAUGCUCCGUGUUGGUUUCGUUGAUGGCUCAAAUCUUUGGGAGCUUGUUUGGUCGUUCUCGUUUAGCAACUAUAAUAGCUCUGCUAGUAGAAUCUAGACAUGCUUGUUGUUUAAUUAGUAGAAUGUACCGAUUCAGACAUUUGUAAAUCUUUAUCUACUAUGUGGAAUGGGUUGUAUCCAAGGAAUUGUUAUGGCCUAAUAUAUGCCACUAUGCUAGUGACACGGAAUGGCACAAUGGCAUGGGGUGUGCCAACAUCGGCUUGCCCACCCCGUGUUAGAAGCAUGCCAUUGGCACUUUGGCACGCAUUGGCAUUGUUUUUUUUUUAAUUAAAUUUUCAUGAAAAAUAGUUUUUAGUAUUUUAGUUUCUCUAAUGGCUAUAAAAGUGGUUUAUAUAUUAUAACUCGCACAAUUUUACAAGAAUAGACCACUAAACAUUAUAGUAACUAAAAAAAAAAAAUCAUUUUACAUAGAUGUAUACAUGAAUCCAAAAUGAAAGUCAUAAUUGGAUAAAAACUUAUAGGAAAACACCACUGUAGGUAAAUUCGCUAGAUCUAAAAUGAUAAAAAGAAUUGGAAGAAAUCUUCUUGUGUAUACAAUAUUUUUUUCACUAAAAGUUGGUCUUAUUGUGCAAUGGAACCUACUAAGUGCUCCAAAUGUUAGUAUAUUUACAUGAUCUAUAUGUUUCAAUAUGAAAAAAUAUUUGUAAAAGUUUUUGCUCCCGGCAACUCGAAAGGAUCCCAAAAAAUACAAAAAACAAAGGAACCAUUUGUGUCGAUAUCGACAGCACGAUCCUAUACGUCAUAUCAACAUUGCCCUAUGCCACAUGCCGACAUGGCCUCGGCACAAUAAGUCAUGGGUAGGAGGUGGCGACACGGGUAAUUGUGACGCCCCAACUUCCCAAAGGGUCACCCAUCCCAGGACUACUCUCGUCCUAGUACGUUUAACCCUCUUAACCUCUUGGGCCUAGCCACCGCCCAAAAUGUUUAAGCCGGGUUAAGAGUUUUAUCUUUAUUAUAUCUCAUAUAUAGGACUACCUGGGGUCUCACAUUCUUCCCCCUUUAAGCCUGACGUCCUCGUUAGGCUCAGACUAAUCAUAAGUACCAGGCAAUGUGAGACUCGUCUCGCUAGCCUAAACCAGUCUUGUGGUAAGCUGCGCUCCACUCACAAAAGUCAACAGUAUGAGAUCCUCGCUCUCCUCACUAUAUAAUCCUAGCUCAGUCGAGACUCAUCUCACAAUUUCGACUGGUAAUUGGCUCUGAUACCAACUGUAACGCCCCAACUUCCCAGGGGUCAUCCUAGGACUACUCUUGUCCUAGCACGCUUAACUAUCUUAGCCUUUUGGGGCUAGCCACCACCCAAAAUACUUAAGCUGGGUUAAGAGUUUUAGCCCUAUUAUAUCUUAUUUAUAGGACUACCUGGGGUCUCACAGUAAUUCUCAGUUGUGACAUAUACCUUGCUUGUUUAUAAACCUAGGUAGAUCCCCUAGAGAUUUGGCUGACAUUGGUGAUACUGUGGCAUACACUGUGUUGGUAGGUUGUGUCAUGCUGCAUCUUGAUCCUUGAAAGAUUUUAAUGAUCAGCCUUUCGUCCUUACUCCUUUAUAUUAGUAGUUCCUCAAUUGAUGCUAUAUAACAAUAUCUCGACAAUCAAAGGGACAUAUUUCCUGAAACUAGGAAAUAUGAAUUAAAUAGAUUGACAUGGUAAGCAUGCACCAUCAUAUUGGCCAUCAUUUGCCUAAUUACCUAUGUGUGACAUGGUGAUAUGCAUCGACACAGGAAAUGAUCUUCAUAAAAUGCACCAUCAUAUUGGCCAUCAUUUGCCUAAUUGCCUAUGUGUGACAUGGUGAUAUGCAUCGACACAGGAAAUGAUCUUCAUAAAUAGUCAUUCCAAAUUGUCGAGCUUCGCUUCGCACUACAGCUAUGUUAAUGGCUAAUUGGCAAGUACAUUCAUGGAUAGCACUACUGAAGAUGGGUUUUAUCAUGUAACAUGGUCGAAGGAUAUUAACUUCAUGUUUUCUUGGCUUAUACAUUAACAACAUCUGAUUACUGUAGUUGUAUGCCAUUGUUUGCCAUCUUCUAGUAUGUGAAAAUUGCUAUCCUGCCUAUCUUUAAGCUUCAGUAAUUCUUCGUGGGAUCAUGGAAACGUCCUAUGCUACGCACAGUAGACCUGUUGUUCCUCUCACACAUAUAUCUAACAUGCUGCACAGAUCUUCUGUAGUCCAAAAUUAUUUCUCAGACGUAUGUGUCGUCCUUGAUGCAUCUCCUUAUCUUUAUCAAUGUCUUAACAGUAUAUUGAACUAAUUUGUCAAACACACGUCUUUACAAUACAAAAUUCUUUAUUUGCAAAGCUCCAGGUAAGUUCAUAAUGCAAAAGUUUCAAGAUGUUAUGCUGCUUCUGCAGUGUCAUUUCAUUCGUUUGUAUUGCUCUCUUUUUCUUUGCAUGCAAUAUAUCUCUAUGGAACUCUGAGAUUAUUUCUCCAAGAUCUUUAAGCUGCUAUUUGUUUUACAGAAACCUGGUGGUAUCAUUGCCCUCCUUGAUGAAGCAUGGUAUGUAACUUCCAUAUGCUCUUCUUAUAUUUAUUUAUUUAUUUUUCUUGGCGGGGGGAUUUACUUUGAUCAAUAUUUUUAAUGUCAAAACAGUUUUCAAUAUGGCUUACCAUUUAUUUUAGUGCCAAAUGAUUUAAGUGUUACUUUACUGAUUAUGUGUUGUUGUAAUUGACAGUAUGUUUCCGAAGUCAACACAUGAAACCUUUUGUCAAAAGCUUUAUCAGACUUUUAAAGUGCACAAGCGUUUCAUCAAGCCAAAGCUGUCUCGCACAGAUUUUACUAUAUGUCAUUAUGCCGGCGAGGUCAGCCUUGCCUUUCAUCUUCCAAUAUCUGAAGAAAAAGGACUAUUUCCUUUUAGUCAAACUUUGUUUUUCUGGUCGGCAGGUCAUCUAUCAGUCCGAUCAGUUCCUAGAUAAAAAUAAAGAUUAUGUUGUCGCAGAGCACCAAGAUUUGUUGAGCACUUCCAAAUGUCCAUUUGUGUCAGGCCUCUUUCCUCUUCUGCCAGAGGAGACAUCCAAGUCUUCUAAGUUCUCCUCCAUCGGUUCUCGUUUUAAGGUGGGUUGUUAACAGUUCAUCAUUAAAAGUGUAUCGUUUAGAAGAAACUAUACAUGAUUAAUUCAUCUAUUUUGAUGCUUGAAAUCCCUUUUAUCAAAAGACUACUGAUUUCUACUAACUGCAGCAACAACUGCAAGCCUUGAUGGACACACUGAAUUCAACAGAACCUCAUUACAUUAGAUGCGUCAAGCCAAACAAUCUGCUAAAACCAGCGAUAUUCGAGAACGUCAAUGUUAUGCAACAACUACGCUGCGGUGUGAGUGUAUUUGAACUUUAGAUGAUUUACAAUGGUUUCAUAUACAUUGUGUUAUUAGAAAGUUACGAGCAAUAAUACUAAUCUUUUUGUUUACAUCUGUUGGCGUGAAUGCUUUGUAUAAAUCAAUAGGGUGUUCUCGAGGCUAUUAGAAUUAGUUGUGCUGGAUAUCCUACCCGUCGCACAUUUUAUGAGUUUCUACACCGUUUUGGGAUACUUGCUCCAGAAGUUCUAGAAGGAAGGUAACAUUCAAAAUAAUUUUGUGUUUCUUGCUCUCCAAUUAGUUAGCCGCACAUUUAUCAUUGAUUUUGUAGUUUGUGUGCAGUAAAUUUGUCAUUCACAACUAUGUACAUUUCCCAUGUUUGAACAGCUAUGAUGAAAAGGUUGCAUGCAAGAUGAUUCUGGAAAAGAAAGGUCUAACUGGAUUCCAGGUAACUACUAGAGUAUCUCUUUCUCUCUGUUUGUGUAUGUCUCGGUACCAAUUUAUGUAAUUUUUCGACAUCAUUUACAUAUUGAUCAAGCAACCUCGGAAGUGAUAAAAUUUCUCAUCUAAUGGUGUAGAGCAAUUUAAAUAGGUUGAUAUAUGAUAGAUUUUUUUAAAAAAUAUUUAGAAUAGGAACUUCUGCUUUGAUUCAUGUUUAAGGGUAUCGAUUGACACCUUGGGUGCCACAUCAUUGAAAACAAGUCUAUAACACAAAAGGAUUGGUGCUAUUAAUAGCACUGUAGCCCAACUCUCUCUCUUUCUCUCUCUACAUAUAUAUAUAUUAUACACAAUUUCAUACAUCCACCUUGUGGUGUUAUAUUUCUUCUCUGUACCUUGCCUUUUUGAUGUUAGUCAAUCAUCUUUAACUAAAAUGCCAGGUUUCUUAUGCCAAUGUGUAGAAAUAUGUAAGAGUCUUUUAAUUAAGCUCAAUUACUUGCAAUGAGGGACCAAAAUAGCUCUCACUUUCAACAAGGUUUAGGUUAGAAAUUUACAACUUCAACAGCAACUGUGUGAAAGAUAAUUAAAGUCUAUAGAGAAAUUCAAAAAGCUUCGUGAGAAUAUAAGAGUUCAAGCGGGCAUUUACCUUACAUUGUGGUAGAUUAGUUUGUACCUUUUAGUCUGCUGCCUAUUGUUACUUGCUCAGAAUAGAAAGUUCUUGAAAGAGGGGAGAAAAUUAUGUUACAGCUUAGUGAAUAAUUUCUUUUUUGGUUCAAACAAUGUUAGUGAGAUGCAUUCUUUAAGACAGUCAAAAUAUUUUUGUUGGUUUUGUAUCUCUUUGGAACUCAGCAUCGAAAUGUUUUUCAAAACUAGCAAAAUUAUAACCCCAAAAUGAGAUAAUGAUUUUUUAUUCAGGAAACUUAGCAAAUGAGUGGAAUUUAUAUAGUAAAAAUUUGUGGUUGUCCCUGUAUGUAAAUUAAAUGCAAAAUGGUUUGACGGUUGACCGUAGUUUUAUUAAAACUGAUAGAAAAUGAAUAUUAUCCAUAUUAUUUCUAUUUCAAUUAUUAUUGCUAUUUUCAGAGCAAUUAUUUUUCUUUAGUCCAACACUCUCCCACAUUGUUUUCCAGAUAGGCAAGACAAAGGUUUUCCUUAGAGCUGGUCAGAUGGCAGAGUUAGAUGCUCGGAGAGCUGAAGUGCUUAGCAAUGCUGCAAAGGCUAUUCAACGGCAAAUACGAACUCAUAUCAUGCGAGAAAAGUUUAUUGCAUUGCGAAAGGCUACAAUACGUGUUCAGUCAUUAUGGAGAGGUGCAUUUAGCUAAUGUGAAUGCUAUGAUCUAGGCAAUUGGUUCAUUAAAUAAUUAUAUUACAUUUUAUGCUUUACUUGUAGGACGAUUGGCUUGCAAAUUAUACGAGCACAUGAGAAGAGAAGCUGCUGCUAUUAAACUUCAGAAAAAUUUGCGGAGAUAUCAGGCUAAGACGUGUUAUACACGUCUAAAAGUUGCAGUUCUUGUCAUGCAAACUACAUUUCGGGCUAUAGCUGCUUGUAACGAGUUUAGAUUUAAAAAGCGAACCAAAGCAGCAAUAAUAGUUCAGGUUGUUGUUUGAUUCUUACUGCAGAAGUUAAACAACGUAAUGAAUUCUUUUUUUUGUUUCUUGUGACAUAUUUCUUUCUGCUUAAUGCUUCUAUUUUUGCAGACUAAUUGGCGCUGCCACAGGGCACAUUCAUAUCACACGAAGCUAAAAAAGGCAUCCAUUGUUACCCAGUGCAGGUGGAGGGGAAGAGUCGCAAGGAGGGAGCUCAGAAAGCUUAAAAUGGUCAGUUUGAACUGUUGCUCUUUUUGUGCAAUAUUAAAAACAAACAUCAAUAUUUCUAGAGAGGAAUUUGUUUGGAUUAUUAUGUACAUCAUGGAUUUUUUGUUUUUUUUCAAGACGUUCUAGAAAGCCUUUUCUUGUUCUGCACUAAUACAAAGGAUUUCUCUUAAGCACUAGAGAAUGGUGUUUUUAUUAUUUAUAUUUCACACUCCUCCUCACAUCUAGGCUUGAAAUGUUUUGAUAGGCCAAAAACGUGGGCUUGAAUUAAAAAGGACGAAUUAAAUAAUGCUAGGAGCCUGGCAGGACUCGAACUUAUGAUCUUCUGCUCCGAUACCAUGUUAAAUUAUGUGAAACAAUUGUUAUUUUCUAAAAGCUUAAUCUAACAGAGAGCGGUAUUCUAUUAUUUAUAUUUAACAAGGACAUCUUUUUAUCUAUUUUAAUUCAUUGUGAUUAAGUUGAAGCAAGGUUUAAUUUUGGCUAAUAUCUCCUCUCCUUUUCCUCCAUCGAUCUUUGUGCAUCAGAGCAAGGAUUUAAGUGCCAUGGCACGGAGUUGUGCCGGAAACCUGCCGGCACGAUACGACACGGUGCGUGCUGGACCGUGCCGAUGCGUGCCGGUCACAAAAAAUUCAUGUGUGCGGACACAUAAUAGCAUGAAAUAUUUAUUUUCUUUAGCAACAAAAUAUUAUAAUUGCUUAUUAUAUAUUUUUAUCAAAUAUUUUGAACUUUAUUGAGAAAGUUACUUACUAAUUUAAAGAAUAGAGGGUUUUGAGCUGUGCCAUCGGCACGGGAGCAGAAUCGUGUCGAUAUCUUAUUGGCACGAUACGACAUUGUAGAUACGGCCUGUGCUGAUGGGCACUUAAAUCCUUGCAUCAGAGCAUCUUAUCGAUAAGAUUAGGGUCAAUAUCUUGAUGUAAUACUUGCAUUUAGUGGGUAGAAAUCCAUUAUCAUCCAACAUACAGAAAAAUGAUUUGUAAAGCUUUGACAUUGUACGCUUUUAUCUCUAUCCAUUUACAAGUGAAAAUUUGAUGCAUACUUUUCCUUGUAAAAGUGUGUAGGUUUAUAUGAGGUUUGUUUCUCAACUCGAGCUAUGUCUUAUGUUGAUAGAUGUGAUCAGCUGUUCCUUUGCCUAACCAUAUCUACAUUGGUAAAAUUUGUAUGUUGUUCUUUUUAUGUAUUUAUGAUAUUUUAUAAUUUGCAGUUUUUUCUCUUUUUCUCUUAGGCAGCACGAGAAACUGGUGCACUUAAGGAAGCGAAGGAUAAGCUUGAAAAGACAGUGGAAGAACUUACUUGGCGUUUGCAGUUAGAAAAACGAAUGAGAGUACUGUUUUAGACUUUCUAGAUUACAAACUGUCUUUUAUACUAAGAAUCAACUCUUUUGCCUUAUUUGAAAUUUGAAACUGAUCAGCUAAAUCACUUCCCUUCUACUUGGUGAAUAAGCAACUAGUUUGCAACAUUAUCUGUUCUUUAGUUACAUUUACUGUUAGCUUUAAACAUUAUUGAAUGGUUCCAAAGAUUCACGAUGACAAAGAAUUGUUUGUUUUUGUCCUCAUGCAUGCAGACAGACUUAGAAGAAGCUAAAGCACAAGAAAUAACAAAAUUGCAGAGUUCUUUGCAAGCGGUGCAAAGUAAAGUUGAGGAAACAACUGCAAUGCUUGUCAAGGAACGGGAAGCUGCCCGAAAGGCUAUUGAAGAAGAGCCUCCUGUUAUCCAGGAAAAGACAGUUGUUGUUCAAGACACCGAAAAGAUUGAUUUUUUGACAGCAGAGGUGGAACAAUUAAAGGUAUUUGGAAAUUUUAUAUGUUAGCAACUUUCUCUUGAAGAACGAACAUGUAAUAUUGUUAGAUCUAUGUGCAUGUGUAUAUGCUUACUUUCUAUCUUUUCCCUUUGUAGUUUAUUACUAGAAACUUGAUUUUCUCAGCCAAAACAGUUCACUAUAGAAUCCUUCUCCAGUUCUUUUGGAAGCAAAAUGUUCUAAUGUUAGACAAGUAACUUUUUCCCUUAAAGUUUGACAAGAAACUCAAACUUGGAAGAUACGAAGUAUAGAUGCUUCAUUUUUAGUGUCGUUUGCGUAUGGAAUACAUAUCAUAUAUGGAUAUAUAUGUCGCCAAUAGGUAUUCGUUACCGGAAUUAAGUAUUACAAUUUUUCAAGAAAUAAAAAAAUAAUGAUAUGACACUGGUAAGGCGGGACAUGAGGAAGGAUACUAUGGGAUAUGGGAUAGGACACCCCGGGGCACUUAUAGGGUCAAAAAUGGGUUGGACUGAUUGACUUGAAUUUUUCAACGAUCCAGAUGCAAACUAACUUGUAUGUGAGGGAUACAUUUUGUGCCCCAAUUCGCAAUUUUCAACAUCAUUCCCCUUACUCUAGUCAUGAAUUCGUGGGGGUUGGUGUGCCCCAUUUUUAGAUGGCGAAUGAUGGUGUCUCUUUAGGAGUAGCGGAGAAUGGUGGCUCUAUCCGGGUGAUGAUGAGUCUCUCACUUUCGCUAGUUGUGAUUAGCUUGUGGUCAGUUGGUAGAGGACGACAGCUGUUGAAGACAACUUGUGGUCACGAAGAGCUCGUGAACACAAAUGAUUUCUCUACAUGUCCUCUUUCUCUUGGGAUGGAUUUGACAACGAGUACCAAAGGUUGGAAAGGGAGGGUGUUCAUUGCUGCUCUUGGUUAGUUAAUUUGCUUUAUAUUAUUCAACUUUAUACAUAUAUAUAUUACAUAUUUUUGCAAAUUAUAUUAUUAUGUAUAAUCAAUAUAUGUGUCACUUUUUGCAUUGGCCUCUUCGAAAAACCGGGUUACUAUUCACUUUAAGUGAAAAGUAAAGAUCACGUAAAAUCUCCAUUCUAACUCGUUUUUUCCCGAAACUUGACGAGUGCUUUUCUAAUUAAAAUACACACAAAAACAUCGUCAACAGAGAGUUUAGCUAUAGUGCCAAAUUCUCGAUCCUUACAAUAUGUCCAAGUAAAUUUAAAAUAAAAUUUUAUUCAUGCAUCAUUGGCGUAACCUCGAAGUUUUUGGAGAAUGUCAUAUCACCAUAUCCACAUCGUGUCAUAUCUCAUAUCCCAUAUUCAUAUCCCAUAUUCAUAUGUGUGCUUCAUAGCUUUGAAGUGAUAUGCAUAUGAACCACAUGAAAAUUACUGAACCAUAUAAUAAGCAGUGGAUCUAUCCUAGCAAGCUUAUUGUCAAUUUAACCACCUCUGGUGACUAGGGUUCUCAUAGAAAAUCGCUUUCUAUCCCUAUAUAUUGUUUUUUAAGUGCACUGAUUUUUGACCAUUCAACUUAUUCUACUACUAGCUCUAUUGCUUUAUUCUGCUGAGUUUCUUAUAGGCAUCAUUACUAGCGGAAAAACAAAGAGCAGAAGUCGCGGAAAACAGAUUUUUUGAAGCACAAAAAACAGGUGAAGAAAGAGAAAAAAAACUUGAGGAAGCAGAAGGAAAACUUCGUCAAUUUCAGGAUUCUUUGAACAGGUUAAUUUUUUAUGCACUAUCUUUCCAUUUCUCGCAUCCCAACUUUUUCUAUGCAUUUUGGGCUUUGGAAAAGUUAAGAAGAUAAUUUUACUUUAGAAGCUUUUUUUUUUCUUCUCUGAACUAGGCUUGAAGAGAAGAUAUCAAAUGUGGAAUCAGAAAAUAAAGUACUGCGUCAACAAGCUGUCUCGAUGGCUCCGAAUAAACUUUUAUCAGGACGUUCUAAAUCCAUUUUGCAGGUAAUUAUAACGAAAUUCUAAUAUUAGCCUUGCUGUGACCAGUUUUACUUAAUAUAAACUUAAUGAUUUGUUUAUAUUUUUACAGAGGAGUUCUGAAAGCGGGCAUAUCCUGGUCGGCGACACAAAGACAGCUGCAGUAAGAAUUAGCCUUUAUGAACUCUCAAGUCUCUGAUACUACCAUACAUAGCGUGGAGAUUUACGAGCUUAGUAGUUAAACCAGAGACUUGGAUGACAUUCUCUAAAUGCUGUUUCAGGACCAACAUUGCUUCUCCACUGUGAGGGAAAAUUCUGAAGUUGAUGAUAAACCACAAAAGUCUCUCAAUGAAAAACAGCAGGUACUAUAUUGAUAAUUUUAGAUCAACUCCCUUCCUCCUAAGAGUCCUUUAAUAUGUAUAGCUUUAAAUCUGUGUAGCAAUCUUCAUUUGAUUAACCGGUUACUAUGCACAGGAAAAUCAGGACUUGUUAAUCCGAUGUAUUGCACAACAUUUGGGCUUUGCGGGGAGUAGACCGGUUGCUGCCUGUAUCAUAUAUAAGUGCCUUCUUCAUUGGAGAUCAUUCGAAGUUGAGCGCACAAGUGUUUUCGACCGUAUCAUUCAAACAAUAGGCCAUGCUAUUGAGGUUUGAACUGUGGUUUUGGCCCUCUAUCAUUUUAAAGUACCAAAAAAUAAAUUUAAUUAAUUAAAUUUUAUUUUUAACAUUUCGUACACAUACACCAAGUGCGAGCAAUAAUUUUCAAUUUUUAGGUGCAUCCGGUGCACCAUGGAUCCAAUAAAAAAAAAUUAUUUUAGUGAAUUUGUCUUAAAUUUAUAAAUAUUAACAUAUAAACUUUUUAAAUAUUAUAAAAUAAAUUGAAUUCACUAAUAUUUAGUUUUGACAUCUCCAUUGUAAAAAUUUACUAGUGUGUAUGAGAUAUAUACUAGGUGUAGUCAAUUACUACAUACUAAAGUUGUUGACAUGUGUCCCCCAAUAUAUUUGGUGCACCUGAUGCACCGUAAUCCUAUAAAAAAUAUUAUUUUAUUUUAAUAUAUAUGUCUACAUUUUAUAUUUUUUAAUAUAUAGACAUUUAAAAUACAGUAAAAUAAAUUUAAUUAAUUAAAAUUUAUUUUAAAAUUUUAUUUUUGACAUUUCAAUCAUACAAAUUUAUUGAUGUUUAUGAAAUGUACACAUCCACGAGGUGCAGGCAAUAAUUUGGACCGGAGUGGAGCCAUUGUUUGUGGACAUGUUGUGUCCAUUCUAAAUACUAUAAAAUAAAUUGAAUUAACUAAAAUUUAGAUUUGACAUCUCUAUUGUGAAAAUUUACUGGCGCGCAUGAGAUAUACAUAUACACUAGGUGUAGUCAAUGAGUUCAACUAAAGGCCACUUUGAAUUAGACCUCAACCUUUAAUUAUUUUGAUUUGAGCUAUUAUUCUAAAUAAGCAAGUUGGAAGAUUUGUUAGAUUUAACAACUUUAUUGCCUAUCAACUAUUAAAUCAAUUAGAGUACUCCCCCACUUUUUGUCAAUUAUCUAUUUUAAGUCCUAAGUUUAGAAAAAAUAUAUCUAAUUUCUUCAAUGUUUUUAUACGUUUGAGAACUAUUUGGUACUUAAUUUUGCUAAAGUUAGAAAUUUCUUACAAAAUUAAAUAAUAUGUUUAUAAAUUUUAGAAAAUAUUAUAAAAUAAAUCAAUUAAAAAACUAUAAAUCAAGUACCUGCCUUUUUAUUUUAUCAUAAUAUUUUUAAUUCUUGACAUUGCAUGCAUUGAUUAACAAAAAUUACCUAAAUAGAAUUAGAAGAAUAAAAAGUAAAAAAAUACAAAAAGACGAUAUGCAUUUUUGGACAAACCAGCCAAAAAAAUAAGCAUAUUACGAACUUACCUUUUUGCUUAAGAAAAUUUUAUAUUUUGGUAUCACAUUUUGAUGCAAAUAUGUUUAAUACAUAUAUUUAAUGGAAAUAUAUACUAUAUUUUAUAAAUAUAAUUAAGAGCAUACCUAUAUACCCGCAGCAAAGCGCGGUUACAAUGCUAGUUGUUUACUAAUGAAAAUAGCGGGCCAUACUGAGUUGUUGCUCUUUAAAUGUUCAAGACCCAGGACAAUAACGACAUCUUAGCAUAUUGGCUCUCCAAUGCUUCGACUUUGUUAUUACUACUCCAACGUACAUUGAAAGCGGGGGGAGCAGCAGGCAUGGCCCCCCAACGUCGGCGGUCAUCAUCAGCUACUCUUUUUGGAAGGAUGACUCAAGUAUCUCUCAUUUUAUACACCCUAAAUAGUUGAAGAUUUUAUCUUGAAACUAACUAGAAGGCUUACUUUUUUCCUCUGUGUUUACUCUUGAGCUAGAGUUUUCGAGGAACCCCUCAAGGUGUGAAUCUUUCUUUUGUGAAUGGGAAUUUGGUUGGCCGAGUAGAUACAUUGCGGCAAGUGGAAGCCAAGUACCCUGCCUUGCUAUUCAAACAACAACUUACUGCAUAUGUCGAAAAGAUAUACGGGAUGAUUCGGGAUAAUUUGAAGAAAGAGAUAUCUCCGUUGCUCGGUUUGUGCAUUCAAGUAAGCAUGAAUUUGUUUAUGGUGGAAAGAAAUGUAGAACUUUGUUAUUAUGGUCACUUAGGAUGUUAUUUACUUCCCUUUUCAUUUUAAAUCAGCUGCACAUUUACUCAAAAAAAAAACAGAAUUUGCAAUUCUGAUAUUUGGCUUGUUUUCAGGCACCAAGAACAUCAAGGGCAAGUUUAAUGAAAGGAUCUUCUCGUUCACUUACGAAUGCUGCAGCGCAGCAAGCGCUUAUUGCUCACUGGCAAGGGAUUGUAAGGAGUCUCGGGAAUUUCUUGAAUACAUUGAAAGCAAAUCAUGUUAGUAUACGCUAUUGACCCUGCUUCUUUGACAGACAAUUUUCCUUGAUUGUUCUUCCAAGCAAAUACAUUUGUUUGGAUUAUCAAUUUUAAUCAGAGUAAUAGAUAAAGUUGAUUUCUGCAUAGAGCAUUGUUUUGACGUGUCCAAGCCUGUGAACAGAUUCAUUCCUUUAAUUUUGUGCAAACCCUUUUUAUCGUGCUUAUUCGAUUACAUAGUGUACAUAUAAAUUCCGGUUACAUAGUGUACAUGUAAAUUCCCCCAACUUCAGCUUAUAUUUAUUUGUUUCUAGGUGCCUCCCUUUUUAGUGCGAAAGGUGUUUACGCAGAUAUUUUCCUUCAUAAAUGUGCAGCUAUUUAACAGGUAGUGGUCUGAGCUCUUUGCGUUGUUUGCGUGAUGCAUGGUCUUGAUAGAUCUGCUUUUCAUAAUGUUCUUCUCUUUCUGGAUGCAGUCUUCUAUUAAGAAGAGAAUGCUGUUCAUUUAGUAAUGGUGAGUACGUCAAAGCAGGACUAGCUGAACUUGAACAUUGGUGCUACAAAGCAACUGAUGAGGUAAAUGUCUUAAAUUUUGAUUCAUGUUGUAGGCUUAAUUGCAGUUUACUAUGCAGUGUUUUCACUUUCAAAUCAGGGGUUUUUCACUUUCUACAGUCAUCUUUCUUGUUUUUGCCAAACUCUAGUUUAAAUAUACAAAAUUAUAUAACUCCCUCAACAAGUAGUUGUAGUGAUAACUUUCCUGAUUCCAUAAUUUGGUGAAUAGCCAUGCGAAGAGUUUUUGUGUUAUGGAAAAUUAGAAGCAACAACGCCAAAUGCGCAUAAAGAGUUUGAAAGCCUAUCUUCCUCUAUGAAGAACACUCUUUUUGUGAGGUUUCUUAAAAUUUACCAUAGAGAGUUAAAAAUAACAAAGUUUUCUGACCUAAACUAAAGAUUUUUGCAUUUCUCCAUGAGCAACAACUAAAAUUGAAUUAUACUUCCUUUUAAAAGAAAGGGGUGACAGACCAAAAACCACAGAAAUUCAAAGUUGACUACACCUGAACAAUUUUGUCUGAGUGAAACUAGUUGGAUAAUUUUUUCAGAUCAUUAUUGACGUCCAAUAGGAUUUAUCUAUUCCUUUUCAAUUAAUUGAGACAUAAAAGACUAGACUCUGGCUAGUUCUUUUAUGGUUAAAUGCAUUAGUUUUUUUAAUUUUUAUUCACCAAUUAUUAGAUUGCAAAUAUUUUCUUUCCAUUGUAUGUUUGAAAAAUAUUGGGUUAAACAUUGGGGCAGUCACUCAACUUCCUGGGAACUAUAAUUUGGUUGCUUAUUUUUGAGCUAAGCAAAUUAAUCUGUUGCUUUGUUAACUUCAUUUUCAGUUCAAAAUACUGGAAUUCAUUUUUGGCGCGUGCUCUCCAUGCAAAUGUAAAUAAUAAACUUGUGAUAUUUCUUAUUAUUUCGUCAUUUAACAUGUUUAAAAGGCUUUUUAACACUAUAAUUCUGUCCAAAAUCUCUCUGAUGAUUUAAAGUGUCACGUGUUGAACCAUAGUUUCUUCUAGAAAUAUAAAAUAAUGUAAAGAAAUAAGAACUGUAAAAAUUCAAAAACCAUUAGUUUUGUACCAUGUUUACGUAGAAAAAUUGUGAUUAAGCUGCUUUAAUGUGACAUGUUACUACUAAGCCAGCUUUCAUUAAUAGAAAGCAACAACAACAACAACAACAAUAAUAAUAAUAAUAAUAAUAAAGCUCGCAAUUUUCAAACUGUAUUACGUGCUGAAUGAAAUUGUCAAGGGUAUUUGGACCAUAAAUUAUGGUAUUGAAAAGAAAUAAGCAUGACCCAAUUGAAAGUAUUAAAGUUCAGAGCCUUAAUUGAAAUGAUUUGAAGUUUGGUAUCCUAAAUGAAUUUUUACCAAAAGGCUGGUGACCAAUGGUGUCAUUGAAAUUAUAUUGAUCGGAAAAUGUCGAGCACAAUCUUUUAUAAAUACGGAUGAAUCCUGUAAAAUGUGAAUGAAAAUUUUUGGGUGACCAAUGCUUUCUGGUUAAAUUUUAUUUAUAAAAUGAAAAAUCCUAUUCAAAUUCGGAUAGACAAUAAGGCACUAACAAAUCUUUAGAAUUAACAUAUAGCGUACGUUUUGAAAGAAAAUUGAAGGCUAGCUUAAAGUAAGUUGUGACAAAUAGAUAGGUUCCAUCAAUUAGUUUCGCAUAAUUUGGAUGAACUUUCAAACUCUCAAUUUUUUUUUUUUUUGAGUAAUCUUAACUAAAUCAUCAGCAAUAUGGUCUCAUGAGCUACUUAUGGAACAGUUCCCUUAAUACAGGUAUGAUGUACAAAUAGACAUACAGAUAUAUAUAGGAAAUGCUAGGUAUUUCAAUAACUAACAAAAUCCUAAAGUUGAAAGAUUAAGCUGAUCAAAUAAUUAUGAAGUUAUUAAUGAAGCACCCAGAGUACAGAUACAUAAUAUUAAAAACAAUGCUCGGAAAUUAGAAUCACUUGUUAUGGAGGUAUGCAAAUAGAUAAACUCGACCAAAAUGUAUCUACCAAAGUGAUUUAUAUAUUCGAAAUUGGUAAUCAUCGUUGUCAUCAGAGUCACCAUUCAUGGCUUCUUUUGGCAUGACAAGGACCAUGAUUCAACUCUCUAGAAAUUUGUACUGGACUUCUAGCCAAUGCAAAGGCAGGCAAAGGACUUGCAUUAAUGCUUUGGGCAAGUCAGCAAGAGAUAUAUGGGUACUUGCAGCGAGCAUCCUGAAAUUCUUAGGGCUGCAAAAAUAGUCUACUUGAAGCAACACAUUUGAUUUAGGUAUGUGGCUUCCCUAGUGGUAAAGUUCAUUAGAAAAUUGCUCUCUUCAAGUCUUCAUAUUCUAGCAGUCAGCUCCUGCAGUAGCAAACUUCAUGCACUUUACGAUCUCAUUUUUAUGUCAUGUUAAAAUACAACAUUCCAGUAGAUGUACAUUUCCACCAUUUGGGUUCUUCGAUUUAGAUGUUUCAUGAUCAAUAUUGUGCAAAGAUCAACUGGAGUCAAAUCAGUAAUAGGAUUCUAGGGUUCUAAUGAUGUGCACUGAUGUGCUUAUGUCUUCACACGUCCUUUUUUUGCAUUUUUGUGUUUACAUAUCAUUUCAAACUCUUGAUCAGUGAAGAAGCUUCAUUAAUUUUUGUGUCCACUGAUUUUCUUAUGUCUUGACACAUCCUUUUUCUGCAUAUUUGUGUUUACAUAUCAUUUCAAACUCUUGAUCCUUAAGUGAAGAAGCUUCAUUAAUUUUUGUUUGUUCUUUUGUAAUAUAGCAUUUGUAAAUUAUUAUCUGCCUCGAUAUUCCACACUAGCGUACUACAAAUAGUUGUCUAUUUAUAUUUAGUCUAAGUACAAAAUUUAGCCACCCCACUUUUCGCAAUCAUCAACGACAAAAUUAAGCCUCGAUGUGUACAGCCUUUCCAUUCCAUUCAGUUAACCUGUACUAGCCAGACUUAUUGAGAAAGAAGAACAAACAUUUCUCAUGGUAGUCCUCUUGAGAUGAGUUUGGGCUUCCAACGUUUGUUUAUCAUGUAUUAGUCAUAGUCUCAAUGGAGGAAUAGAAAAUGAUGAAUGAAUGACAAUGCCAUUACGAGCUAUUUUUUACAAGAAAAAAGGGGAAGCUGCACCAUCGGUCCUAGAAUUUUCUGCUAAAUUUAAGUUUGACUCUCAAACUUCUAAGGGAGAUACUGGACACUCCAAACGUUUGAAACUGUUUUAAUUUAGUCCUUGGCGUAAUUUAUUGUUAGAGGAAAAAUUAUUGCAUGAGCAUGAAGUAUUGUACAUCUACGCGCCAUGCGUAUUUGGACUUUCGAUUUAAUCUCAUGUUUCAAUUCCUACUACCUUUGAGUUGUAGCAUUUUUUUUACUUGGAAAUUGAAUGAUGGGAUUGAAAAUAUGAGUUGGAUGAAAGGCUAGCGGAUUUGUGGUGUAAAAAUGUGCAAAUGCGCCAGAUGCAGGCAGCAACUUCUCUGAAGCCAGGACACAAUCGAAGCACUUCCAAAAUUUUCAAUGUAAAAGUUUAAUGGUCAAUCUGAAACUCGGCCAGAAGUUCGGGGCUUGUAGUUCAAUUUAUCCAGUAAAAGAAUAUUGUCUUGCAAUGUUCUUUUGCUCUGUCUAUUUGUUGGCUGAUAUAUCAUUUUAUGGAAAAGGUCAGGAGCACAUAUUGGCUGAUAAAAUUACUAAUAUACUUCCUAGCUAGCUUUUCUUUCAUGGCCUAAUGGGACACAUCUCAGAUUAUGUGGGCAUUGACUUUUCCCUACGAUCAAGUAACCAAGUGCAUGAAUAAGAAACUUCAUUGGUAAAAGAGGAAUUCAUUUUUUUUCAACUCUGAAACAAUAGAUUCUUUCCUUUUGAUCAUUGAUUAGAGUGUCAUGGCACGAGGUUGUGCUGAAAAUUUGCAGGCCUGGUGCGUGUGUUGGUCACAAAAAAUACAUGUGGGCUGACACUUACUGGCAUGAAAUAUUUAUUUUCUUUAGCAACAAAAUAUUCUAAUAUCUUAUAAUGUAUCUUUAUCAAAUCUUUUGAACUUUAUUGAGUUGAGCCGUGCCAUCAGCACAAGGGUAACACGAUACAGCACGGUGGAUAUAGCCCAUGCCGAUGGGCACUUAAAUUCUCGUCUUAUAUGCUCCUCUCAACUAUUUUCUAUUUUCCCUUUUUUAUUGCUUUUUGCUACUUCAUCUGUUGCCUUUGAAGGCGCGGCAAUGUCUUUGAUGCUUUGAUAAAAGAGUGAUUUUAUUUAUGAAUCAUUUUUGAAUGGAUCUUCUUACUCUAAUCCCAGUUUCGUUGCUCUUGUAAUUUCUGAACAUAAUUCUCAUCAUCCAACUUUAUUCGAAAAUAUGCAGUAUGCAGGUUCAGCUUGGGAUGAGCUAAAGCAUAUUAGACAGGCUAUUGGGUUCCUGGUAAUUAAUUCUUUUUUGUUUCCGAUUUUUAUUUGGAAAUAAGUAUUUCUUUUCUUUUGCCAUCUAUGAACAGUAAUAUUGCUGAGUGAAUUUUGAUAUAUCAACACUAACGCUUGAGAAAUGGUUCUUUUUGAAGGGGUCUGUAAAACUUUAUGUAUUUUCAUGAGUUGGUAGCCUAAUAACAUUCUUCGUCAAAAGUUGCACAUGUCAGCUCACUGAGACUCGUUAUGCUUCAUAUGUAGCCGUGUCAAUACAUGUUAAGAAUUAUUUGUACGAUUUGGUGUUCCAUAACAACUACCUUUCUUUCUUUCUGAUUGAUUCAUUACUUUUUCAGGUCAUCCAUCAAAAGCCGAAGAAGACGUUAGAUGAAAUAAGCCAUGACCUUUGCCCAGUGAGUGAAAGCCUUUUCAUGUUUCCAUUUGCAUGCUUUGCAUGCUAAAUAGAACAUUUUAUCAACCAGCUCUAUUGCUCCAUUGGCAGGUACUUAGUAUACAACAGCUAUACCGAAUCAGUACAAUGUAUUGGGAUGAUAAAUAUGGCACACAUAGUGUAUCACCUGAGGUCAGUUACAAAUAUUGGAGCCUUUCUAUCAAAUAUGACGGAUCCUUGCAAUAAAACAUUCCACUUUUGAUUGUUUCAGUAGAUUAUUUCUGAUGUUAAUUCUUAAUUAGGUUAUAUCAAAUAUGAGGGUGUUGAUGACCGAAGACUCGAACAAUCCUGUUAGCAACUCAUUCUUGUUGGAUGAUGAUUCAAGGUUAUAGCUGUUAAUCUACAAAUACGUUGACAUUGUAACUUAAGGAAAGUCCUUUGAUAUUUUUAUUGGUCAUUCUGGUUACUCAUCUGACAUAUACAUUGGACAUGCAGCAUACCUUUUUCGGUUGAUGACAUAUCAAAAUCAAUGGAGCAGAUUGACAUAUCUGACGUGGAACCACCUCCGCUAAUUCGAGAAAACUCGGGUUUCGUGUUCCUGUUGCCUCGCUCUGAAUAGAGAUAGUGCAUAGUAAUAUUGAACCCAAACAACUUGAUAUGAUUUUAUGAGACCAUCAGCAACCCGGUAUAAUCUUUUGAGAGGUCAUCAGCAGCCGUUCUGAGGUCUUGUCUGUCUACGAUUGCCCCUUCAUUUUGAGUGCUUUUCCUUAUACUAUGAACUAGAAUCCUGAUCGAGUUCACAGCAACAGAAAGAUGUAAUUUUAGUACUCCCACUUGUCGAAAAUAUUGUUUUAUUUCAAAACCUGGCGGGGCUCUUAACACAAAAUGAGCGUGAAGAUUUUUGCUAUGUAGAAUGUACUUUUUGCAGCCAAAACAUGUAAUCUCUUUUCUAUUGCAUAUUUGUUCUAUUCCCUUCUGGGCAUUUUGAUGAAUUGAUUUUGGAGAGCAUUUGCAUGUCACCAUCGAUGGUUGAACUCCGUUUGGGGCAUUUAAUUGUUCUUGGUUUGAAACAACUAGGCCAAAAAAAGGGGCAUCUUAUAGGAGAACCGCGAUGUGGGCCGCCGGUGGUUAGCUGAUGCAGGAUGGGGUAUGAGUUCUUACGUUUUGUGGGCUUUAAAAUAGGUUUAUGAUCAUUUAUUUUUUCUGAAAGCUUUUGAAAUUUUAGAAAAUUUGAAAAUAUUUAUUAAAUGUUUUUUGAUUUUUGGGAAAAGUUCAAAAAUAAAAAUAAGAAAGUAUGAAAAUUAUGAAAAAAAGAAAAUUUAGAAAAAUAGAAAAAUAAAAGAAAAAAUAGAAAAAAUAAUAACCAUUCACUUUUCUACUUUAACUCGCUUUUGGAUUAUGACUCAAUUUAAGGUGAUGUAUACGCAAAGGGGGAAAAAAAAAAAGAGACAUUAUUGUCAAAGAAUUCUUCAUUAAACAUUUACAAUUUCAUACUCAUCAUCAUGCAACGAAGCUCUAUGCUUUAUUUAUACUAUCUUUAGUCUUUAUUACACAUAACAAACUUCAAAUUUGAACCUAUUCUUGAUAACUAACCAAAAAAAAUGUUAUUUAGAGGUUAUCUAAAUAACAAAAAUUAAAAAAUAAAUAUAGAUAAAAUCAAAUAAGAGGAUAGCUAAAAAUUCUCAUUUAAUAACUAAAAGAUGUGAUCAACUAAAUUAAAUACAGAUAAAACUAAAUAAUAUGAUAACUAAAUACCCUUAUUAACUAACUAAAAGAUACAGUUAACUAAUCCGACUUCAAAGACAGUGAACGCAAUAGGUUUGCAUCGAUCAAACUGAUUGGGUUAGGCCCAUUCCGCAUCAAUAGCGCUUUGGGCGAAUCUUUGUCACACGCCAAUUCCACAUCGAAAGCCCACGGUGCAACCCUCUUAUCUCAAUCAAUGGAUGAAGCAGUUGUCUCUGAAAAGUAAACCACAAGAAGGCGUGAGAACUAAACAAUAGUUCUCAGUGGGUAUGAUCAACGACAACCAUAGCCUUCCCACUAGGUCCAUAGAGGGAAGAAUAUGUAAAGAACAACGAAAUCUACUAUAUAUUGAGUUACAAGACAGAAUAUGAGUAAAUGAAUCUCUACUACUUAUCAUGUCUCCACACAUGUAAUGAACGGGAGAGAAAGUGACUAACGCAUGCAUUAAUGCUAAUACUAAUAAAUAAAUACGGUAAUAGUACUCAAUCGCAACAACCGACUCGCAGGUUUGGUCAAGCAUGUGCCCACCUAGUGCAUGGAUACGCUUCUGCAGGUGUGUUCGACAACACCUAGACUACUUUCUCUGCUAUCGUUGGCCAAAGCUUGGAGCAGCACGAAGAAGAGUGACCCUCUUAGUAAGUCUAACACAGCGUAACUCUAUCAAGCUCAAUGUAGUUCUGCAGGUUGUAGUCUAACUGAUGAUCAAAUAGAUUACAAAUAACCAAUACAAUACUGUAGUGUACCAUAUUUAGGUAUAUUAUACUGAACUUUGGCCAAGUUGGGGAAGGUACAAUUGAGAAAACGAUUAUAAAUAUGUUUAGAAAUGAGUUGUGAGGGUUUCAGAAUGAUUAGAAGAGAAUUAGAGCUCUAACAUGUGAAAACGAAAAAUUUUGGAAAAUAGUAUUUUUGAGCUGUUGGACUCUUGGGGUCCAAACCUUCCUUUGAGGAUCCAGACCUUGAUCUUUUUCGUAUGGGCCUAGAGUAUCAAGGUUCAGACCUUGAUGGAGGAUCUGGAGCUUGAAGGAGGAUCCGGACCUUGCUUUGCCAAUCAGGUAUGGGAUCUGGACCCUAUGCUGGCAGAAUGUGCAGUUCAGGGGGUUUUCUCCAAUUUUUGCUGAACCACUUAAAUGGGGACCUCAGCCCCAUCACCUCCCCACAUGCCCACACAAGAGAAACACCUUUCUCUUCCUUUCUCAUUCUCUUCUUCUUUCCAUAUACCGAAUCCCCGUAUCUUAAUGCCAACUUUGGUCCAAUUGAUCAAAGUAUGGUGUGAAGGCGAUAGGCAAGGUUCUCAUACUGCCUUGGAGGCAUAGGGUGUUAGAUGUAUGCCCUAGAAGCCAACCAGGCCGACCCAUGUAUUCUUUCUAGAACAUAAAUUUAUAUUUAAAUUUAAAAUAAUAUGAAUAAAUUUGGGUUUUUAUUUUCAUUCAUGUUGUGUAUGUGUCCAUGAAUCGUCCAAGGAAUUAAUAAGAUGAUGACAUAUAUUCUCAAAGAGUUGAGAAUUUGAGACAUGUGUCAUUGGUGGUUAAUUCCUAAAUGCUCCCGACUGAUGGAUCAUUAUGGGGACGGUGAUUGAUCUAAUGAGAUUGAUGCAUAGGUCGCUUCCCUUUUUGGGUAGAUGUGUGAGAUAUUGAAACUCGAUGGAUUUUGGCUAACUUUGGCUAAAUAGACCAAAGUGGGCAAUUGAACGGUUUGGACAAGUUCCAUUCGGUAUUCCAACAAGUUUGGAAGAGCAAAAAUGAGUUCCAAAGGUGUUGGAAUGGUUUUGACAUCGAUCGGCACGAAGUAGAGCCGAAACGAAGUGAAAACAGCAUUCUGGAGCUCUUGUACCGGUACAAGAGUGAUGGUUGUACCGGUACAACCAUCGCAGCUCUUGGAUUGGUGGCUGCCAGACCUUGUACCGGUACAAGGGGGUCUUGUACCGGUACAAGCCCUGCGCAACCGAGAAACCGAGCUCUCGGGUUGGAGGCUGCCAGACCUUGUACCGGUACAGGGGGUCUUGUACCGGUACAAGCCCUGCGCAACCGAGAAACCGAGCCUCGGGUUGGGUUGUCUGCCAGGCCUUGUACCGGUACAAGAACCCAUGUACCGGUACAAGGGACCCGAAACUGCAGGUCAAGUUGGGAAAAUAGAAAAUAAAGGGGCUUUUUGGGAUUUUGUUACAUUAGAGGGUUAUAAUACCUCUCUCUCUCAGCCUCCCUCUCACUCUUAGCCUCUCUCUCUCCCUCUCACUUAGCUCUCUCUCUCUCUAACCGUAGAAGAAGGAGAAGAAGAAAAGAAGGAGAGAAAGAAGAAGAAGAGAAGAAGGAAAGGAAGGAGAAGAUCAAGGAGAAGAAGAAGAAGCUUCUCUCCCUCCUCUUCCUCAAGCUAGAGCUUGCUUUGGAGCAAACCUUAGAGGUAAGCCUCAACCCUAAUUUGUGAUUUCUAGGGUUUGGGAGGUUUUUGUUACUUUUAAUGGUUCAAAUGGAACCUAAUGAGUUUAGAGGACAUGGAUCUAGCUCACAAUGAAGCUAAAAACCAUGGUUUCCCAUGGGUGCUAAGCCUAGGGUUGGAUUUUGGGGUUUUUGGGAUUAUAGGGUUUUGAUCUAUUUUGAUGGGUCGAAAACCUAAUUGUUAUGCUCCCGAACGCGUAGGCGAAGACGGUUCGUCGAUCCGUCGAGCGAGCGCGGAGAUAUCGCCGAUUUGGUCACUUAGGGUUCGUUUUGACCCAAGGUGUUGAAGCGGCGCACGUGGAUUUCGACGCCGAGUUUCUUAGCUUUUUGGCACUACCACAAGGUGGGUGGUGACCUUCCCGAAGCCGCGGGGCUACAUUCUAUGUCCAAGAUCUAAUUGCAUCCUAUUCAUGUUGCAUAUAGGGUUAGAAGAUGAUUAUUGUUGUUUAUAUUUGCAUGCUAGUAGCUAUGUAUCUUGUUGAUUGAUCCAUGAUCUAGUAUGCAUGAAAACUACAUGAUGAAAACCUAGACCCUAUAUGUAAUGGUUAAUGUUUAUGAGAUUAAAGAACUAGUAUGAUGUAACUAGUGUUGAAAAUGAGUCUAAAUGACGAGUGGCAUCUAGUUUAGAAAACUAUGACAAGUGGCAUCUAGUUAUAGAAAACUAUGAUGAAGGACAUAUGGUUAUUGAUAAUUUUGAUAUGAGAACCUUAGUGUAGUUGAGACACUAUGAGAUUGGGUACAAGAACACCUUGAUUCCAUNNNNNNNNNNNNNNNNNNNNNNNNNNNNNNNNNNNNNNNNNNNNNNNNNNNNNNNNNNNNNNNNNNNNNNNNNNNNNNNNNNNNNNNNNNNNNNNNNNNNNNNNNNNNNNNNNNNNNNNNNNNNNNNNNNNNNNNNNNNNNNNNNNNNNNNNNNNNNNNNNNNNNNNNNNNNNNNNNNNNNNNNNNNNNNNNNNNNNNNNNNNNNNNNNNNNNNNNNNNNNNNNNNNNNNNNNNNNNNNNNNNNNNNNNNNNNNNNNNNNNNNNNNNNNNNNNNNNNNNNNNNNNNNNNNNNNNNNNNNNNNNNNNNNNNNNNNNNNNNNNNNNNNNNNNNNNNNNNNNNNNNNNNNNNNNNNNNNNNNNNNNNNNNNNNNNNNNNNNNNNNNNNNNNNNNNNNNNNNNNNNNNNNNNNNNNNNNNNNNNNNNNNNNNNNNNNNNNNNNNNNNNNNNNNNNNNNNNNNNNNNNNNNNNNNNNNNNNNNNNNNNNNNNNNNNNNNNNNNNNNNNNNNNNNNNNNNNNNNNNNNNNNNNNNNNNNNNNNNNNNNNNNNNNNNNNNNNNNNNNNNNNNNNNNNNNNNNNNNNNNNNNNNNNNNNNNNNNNNNNNNNNNNNNNNNNNNNNNNNNNNNNNNNNNNNNNNNNNNNNNNNNNNNNNNNNNNNNNNNNNNNNNNNNNNNNNNNNNNNNNNNNNNNNNNNNNNNNNNNNNNNNNNNNNNNNNNNNNNNNNNNNNNNNNNNNNNNNNNNNNNNNNNNNNNNNNNNNNNNNNNNNNNNNNNNNNNNNNNNNNNNNNNNNNNNNNNNNNNNNNNNNNNNNNNNNNNNNNNNNNNNNNNNNNNNNNNNNNNNNNNNNNNNNNNNNNNNNNNNNNNNNNNNNNNNNNNNNNNNNNNNNNNNNNNNNNNNNNNNNNNNNNNNNNNNNNNNNNNNNNNNNNNNNNNNNNNNNNNNNNNNNNNNNNNNNNNNNNNNNNNNNNNNNNNNNNNNNNNNNNNNNNNNNNNNNNNNNNNNNNNNNNNNNNNNNNNNNNNNNNNNNNNNNNNNNNNNNNNNNNNNNNNNNNNNNNNNNNNNNNNNNNNNNNNNNNNNNNNNNNNNNNNNNNNNNNNNNNNNNNNNNNNNNNNNNNNNNNNNNNNNNNNNNNNNNNNNNNNNNNNNNNNNNNNNNNNNNNNNNNNNNNNNNNNNNNNNNNNNNNNNNNNNNNNNNNNNNNNNNNNNNNNNNNNNNNNNNNNNNNNNNNNNNNNNNNNNNNNNNNNNNNNNNNNNNNNNNNNNNNNNNNNNNNNNNNNNNNNNNNNNNNNNNNNNNNNNNNNNNNNNNNNNNNNNNNNNNNNNNNNNNNNNNNNNNNNNNNNNNNNNNNNNNNNNNNNNNNNNNNNNNNNNNNNNNNNNNNNNNNNNNNNNNNNNNNNNNNNNNNNNNNNNNNNNNNNNNNNNNNNNNNNNNNNNNNNNNNNNNNNNNNNNNNNNNNNNNNNNNNNNNNNNNNNNNNNNNNNNNNNNNNNNNNNNNGGUGGAGUCGGCGGCCGAACCCACUGGGAACUAUUCGUAGUUCUCACACCCGUUGUUGCAGGUGCUAGUUCGAGUGCCCCGACCGAGCGAGAGGAUCGUGGCAAGGGCUUGGCGCCCUAGCUGUAUCAGUUGAUAGCUUACUUUCUACUUGCAUUAGCUCCACCCUGUCUUUAUAUUUUGAGAGUAGAUGUUGUAUAGGGUGAGGUUUUGGAGAGUACUUGAUGUAUUUACAUUUUGGAAAAGAUUGAAAAAAAAUGUAUGAAGUUUAAUGUAAGUUGUAUUUAAUGCUUUAGAUUUCAUGGUUCAAAUAGUUAAGUUUCUCUCUUUUGUAUACUUGUAUGCUUUUACUAGUAUCACUUGCUCUCGAUGGUUUUAACACUUUUUGUGUUAUCGUUGUUUGAUUGUGUAUGAAAUCAAGUUGUUUUUCCUGGGGACUUGUUGUACAUAAUCUCGUUAGUUAGCCUUGGGCGGAUAGGGGAGACUUUGUCCGUUCGGCCUCACGCCGCCGCCCUCGAACCGGAUCAAAUAGGUACCGUUUUCGGGUCGUGCGGUCGGGGCGUGACAAGAUGAGUCUCGAGUCGACAGUGUGGGGACACUGAAGCAAAUAUGCAGGUGGUUGUUAGAGAACAAGGGUACCAAGUGUGACCAACGCGAGAAGUCACUUGGAUGUCUACUCACUCGUCAGUGACUUACUCAAUAUUGUAGUAGUGUGUGUCAUGCCCCCGACCGCACUACCCGAAAACGGUACCAAUUUGGCCCAUUUCGAGGGCGGCGGGCGUGAUGCCGAACGGGCAGAGUCUCCCCUGUCCGCCCAAGGCUAACCAACCAGAUCAUGUACAACAAGUCCCCAGGAAAUCAACUUGAAUACAUACAUGAUCAUACAACAACAACGAGAGCACGAACAGUGCUGAACAAACAAGAGCAAGCGUCACAAGUAGAAGACAUAUAAGUGAAACAAAAGAGAGAUACUUAACUGUUCUAUUACAACCAUUCUACUUGAUACAUUUAAUUACAACUUGCAUUCUUUUCCAAAAUAUGAAUAUAAGCUUACAUUUAUCUCAAAAUACCUCACAUCCUAUACAUCAUCUCCUCUCAAUACAUGUAUAGGGUAACUCUAAUGCAAAAUACGAAAGUAAACUAUCAACUAGCACAAGGGCGCUAAGCCCUUGUCGCGAUCCUCUGCCGAUCCACUCUCGUGUGUACCUGUACCCCAAAACCACACGGGGUGAGAACUAUAUAAAUAUAGUUCCCAGUGGGUUCGGCCGCCGACUCCGCCGAUCUUCCCACUAGGUCCAAGCUGGCACAGAUAGAUAGAAGAAAGAGAUAUAUGGAAAUAAACUGCUACUAUAUCUACUAUGCCAUCAAAUGCAAAGAAUGCAUGUCACAUCAUUUGUCAUGCUAGUAUGCUUUGACAAUGAAGUAAAUACAACUACAACAUAGCUAUGCAGUAUACUAUAUCUAAACAUAGUAUGAAUGCAAUACUCUUAUGCUAUUCAUGUUAUUACCCAAUCUGCUAGGCUACUUUGCCUAAGAUCUCAAAUCUAGUAGGUGAAAAGCUACCUCAUUCUUGUCUCAUUCGAUUCAUGUCUUAAGGGUCCUGAGCAAAGACUUAGAUCUCGAAGGUCCGACCCAAUCUCGAAGGUCCUAGGCAAAGGCUACCCCGCACUUUGCCCGACCCACAUCUCAAGGUCCUAAGCAAAGGCUACCCCACACUUUGCCCGACUCACAUCUCGGCCUACUAGGUAUAAGGCUUCUCCGCUCAAAUCUCAUAGGUGAAGGAAUAAUAUGUCCACUCACUGUAUGUAGGCAAAUCCACCAAUCCAACUACCAAGCGACUAUGCUCGCUAUCAAUGUAUGUCUUAGUGAAGGCUAACUACCAUACCACUAGGUUCAUCGAUAAGGCUAUUCAUUAGAUCACCCAAUCCGCCGGCAAGCCAAAGGCAACUAUGAACCACAACAACAACUAUGGAAGCAAGUUAUCAUGAACAACAAUAAUGAGUAUGACUCAAUAGGUAACCAAAUCUCAUGGUGAACACAAGGUUCACAAGCAAGGCUCACAUGUCAACCUCCUAGGGAUGCCUAGCUGGACUAUCCCCGAGUCAACCUCCUAGGGAUGCCUAGCUGGACUAUCCCCGAGUACGCCUGCGGAUAACAAGCGGCUAUCCGAGCAGCAAGUAGGGCUGCCUCUCUAGUGACCAAUCUCCGGAGCGCACAACUUGAGGGGAGCGACCCCACCAAGCGCAGACAGGCAAUGUGAGCGUGAUCAUCUCACGAGCAACAACAACCUACCCUCUAAGGGUAAUCUCAUUAUGGAAUCAAGGUGUUCUUGUACCCAAUCUCAUAGUGUCUCAACUACACUAAUGUUCUCAUAUCAAGGUCAUCAACAAUUAUAUGCCACUCAUCAUAGUUUUCUAACUAGAUGCCACUCAUCAUUUAGACUCAUCAUCAACACUAGUUACAUCAUACUAGUUCUUUAGCAACAUAAGCAUUAAACAUCUCAUAUAGGGUCUAGGUCUUUAUUGUAGGGUUUUCAUCAUGUAAUCAUCAUGCAUACUAGAUCAUGGAACAAUCAUCAAGAUGUAUAGCUACUAGCAUGCAAAUAUGAGCAAUGACCAUAAUCAUCUAGCACCUAAGUGCAAUAAAUACAAUAUGCAACUUAAUCGAUUAAUGCACUCAACAAGUUUAACCCACAUUAAUCAUGCCCUUAUAGGGUUUCACCACACUAAGUCCCAAUCUCAUGCAUACUAGGUACAAGUAUUAAUCAAGUAACACUACACUCCCACUAGCAUGCCAUGACAUGUAACAAUUGCCAACUAGUACCCUAUAAUGCAAUAUCCCAAUAUGCAACUUGAUCAAUGUUAACUAGAGUUUCUAGUACAACAACCAAUCCAUUACUAGUUCAAGUCAUAUGUGUUUUUAGCACAAUGAGUUCAAUGCCACUUGUAAACUAGGUCUUUAAAUACAACACUAGGUUCUUCUUUCAUUUAGCAUCAUAGGCUUACCAAUGUCAUUUCAUAAUCCUUAUGUCCAUUACAUCAUAUAUCCAUAUCAUAAUACUAUAUUGAUCAUAAACAUCAUAUAAGGAUUAGGAAUGCAUGUAUUGUCAUCCUAUAAUGCAUAGCAACAUACAAUAUGCUUAAUACAAAUUGAUAAAGUACUAAGACAUAGGGAGAAGCCCGAUUGCUUCGGGAUGACACCCCCCACCUUGUGGUAGUACCGUAGAGCUACUAAACUUGGCGUCGCGGUCCACGUGCGCCGCUUCAACACCUCGGGUCAAAACGAACCCUAGAGCACUCAAAUCAGUGAUAUCUCCGCGCUCACUCGUCGGAUCGACGAACCGUCUUCGCCUACGUGUUUGGGAGCAUAGGAAUUAGGUUUCUAACCCAUCAAAAGAGAUCAAUCCCUCAUAUUUUCAAAAAUCCCAAAACCAAGCCCUAGGUUUGCAACAAUUGAGAAAUCAUGGUUUCAAGCUCCAAAUUUGAGAUUGAACCUUCUCUUAAGCUCCAAUGGUUUUCAUUUGAACCACUCUUAAGCAACAGAACCCUUUUAAAAACCUAGGUUUAGCAUUUAUGAGGAAACCAUGGGUGCUUGCUUCAAAUUGAGCUAGAACCAUCAUCUCUAAACCCAAGAGGUUCCAUUAGAACCCUUAAAACCAACAAAAAGCUACAAACCCUAGAAAUCUCAUAUUUAGGGUUUAGGCUUACCUCUAGGGUUUGCUCCAAAGCAAGCCCUAGCUUGAGUAUGAGAGGGAGAAGAGCUUCUUCUCCACCAAGCUUGCUUCACCACCAAGCAAAUUCCAAUUUUUCUUUCUUCUCUAAUCCUCUCUUUGGUAAAGAGAACCAAAGAGAAAGAGAGGUCAUAAAGUCAAAGAGAAAAAGAGAGAAAACUCACCCUCUCUCUCUCCUACGGUUUGGGGGAAAAGGGCAAGGAUUCACUCAAUUACAUAGAAAACUUGCCCAACAAGUAAACUCUUUUACAUAGGUACAUAGGAAACUUGCCCUCCAAGUAAACUCAAUUACUUGCACCAUUACACCUUGGCCCCUCUCAUUUGCACAAUUACACCUUAGCCCAUCUCAUAACACUAUUUUAUUUACACUUAUUUCUAUAUCUAAAUCCGGUAUAUUACAUUACACCGCAACCUUACCGGAACCAUUCAAAUGGCUCUCCAACCGAAUGGACACUGUAACCUCAUGAUUUUAGAAGUCCGGUACCUUACAGUGUGACUGGUCCUUUGACUUGCGGUGUCUCGGCUAUUCACAAUGAGGUUAUUGUAGUUUGACUGUACAUACAUUUGGUCUCUAGCCAUUCGGGUCCUUGCAGGUCAUGUUGGUUGCAGUAGGUUCAUUGUAGGAAUAGGGUGUACACUUAUAUGGAAUCUAUCUCCCUUGGUAGAUAGGGGCGUUAGUCCUAUAUGAUUUAUGAGAUCGAGUUUAGAAGACUUUGGCCAGGGCAGAGUUAAUAUCGGAAAGGGGUUUCCGAUAUUAGAAACUCAAGUCGAAUAAAUUUGACAUAUGACAGACGAUGUGUCACGGCCCAGGCCGCAGCUAAAGCCCGCUAGGUGCGUGCACAGACUUGCUGUGCACACCAAACAACCCCGAUGUACACCAAGCGUCUACAACAAUCAUAGAGAGAACAGUAUGAUCCUUCCUAAAACAUGGUAAUCAGAGCAAGAACAAACAACAUCUAGAUACAAAAUUCUACAACUAAUACAUUACAAGAUUUCCAUAACUUAAUCAAGAGGUACAACAAGAUUACAAGGGACAUAAUGUACAAUAUACACCACUGAACUAAGCCAAAAAAUAAUUCUAUGGGUUCAUAUAUUACAACAUCGUGAGGCUCUAGCUAGUCGCUACCCCGUUGCUACGAUCCCUAGCCUUUUCCACUGCAGAAGGCUCUAAAACAAAAACAUUCAACCAAUGGGGGUGAGAACUAUUAAACAAUAGUUCCCAGUGGGUAAGCCGCUGAGAAUGGCGAAAUACACCACUGGGUCAAUUGAGGCAUGAAUAUGAUACGAAAAGUAUAUAAUGUAAAUGGAGCAAUUAAUAGAAUAAUUCAUCUAUAACAUGUUUCUACAAGAAAUGUCUUUAACCUAUAUAUGAAUUUCAUUCCCUACAAUCACAUGCAUAAGUAAUUGUGUAUGCAACAUUAAAAUGUUAGUCCCCAUUUAAACUACGAACAAUUGUUAUGAAUCAAGUCUUAUAUUGUUGUUGACAUCAAUUUGUUGUUGUCAUCAUGAAACUACAAUUCUAUAUUAAAUAUCAUGAGUGUAGGUUCGCUACGACUAAGGUUGUCAAUGCAACUGUAAUGUACCGAAUCCUAGGACGUGGCGGCGACAGAAUAGGACCGGGUGGAUUGUUUUGUUCGAGGACUCCGGCCCGGAGUAUUCAAAUUGGUGCAUGCCUUCAAGUUCCACACUUCGGCGGAGGCGUUAGACCGCGCACUUUGGGUCGAGCACAGGAACACUUGCGAGCGUGAGGACCGUGAGGCGCUCGCAAGGAUAAAGGAAAGAAGCGGCAGCACGGUGGUUCUGGAGGCCAGUCAGGUUCCAAGAAGCCCCCGAAGUACCCGCGUGAACGGUCUGAGGGCCGUGAAGUGCGACGGUGCAUCUUUUGUGGCGGAGACCACCGGGCUACGCACUGUGAGCAACGCCGUGGGAGAUGUUAUGAGUGUGGCCAGGCGGGACACAUGGCCCGUGAUUGCCCGAGAAAGGCCUUGGUUGCCCCGUCUGUCGCAUCGGCUCCAGCAAUUCCAGGCCAUUAUGGUGGAGUCCCUCCUAUGGUUGCGCCGACUGGACGUGCUUUGGCGCCACGUCAGUUUGAGGCGGCCCGAUAUUUUUCGAGUGGCCGAAUGUAUGCUGCUCAAGUCGAGGAGGAGCCGAUUACUGCGAAUGAUGUCAUGGCAGGUACGGUUUAAUCGAAGCAUGUAUAUAUUUCUGCAUGACAUUAUAUCUUUAGUAAGUGCAUUGCAUGCAUUGUAGUUGUGGUCGUUUGCUACUGUUUAUACAUAAGCAUAGUAGAGACCAAGGCAUGGGUUGGCGUAGUUACCCUAGCAUGUAUAAGUUGUGAUGGUACGUUGCUUACCUCAGAUUGUCGAGGGUAGAGAUUUUGUUAGGGCGGUAGCCGAGCUUGGGUUCGGGAGUGAAGGUGUCGUCUAUUGGAUCUCGCGAUCGAGCGCGUAUUGAGAGUGUGAUGGUGAUCUAACCCGACGAAUUGUAGUGGGUUAGUGAUUAUUGGUCCACGUGUAGAAACCGAGCUGAUCGGUUUGGCCAAUAACUCUGUCAAGGAGUUUGGCUUGGAUUUGCAGGCAAGUGUUUGUGUGAGUUCGUUGUAGAGUGAUUGGAGGUUGGAAGUGGCGAUUGAGGGAUCUAGUAAGUGGUCUCUUGGGGACAUCGAACCUUGGAUAGCCUCAUGGAAUCAAGAGUGCAUUGGAACCUUGAUGACUCAAAAGUCGAUUUGAGGUAGGGGUUCAGAUUGAAGUGGUUGGUUUCGAGAACGAAUCACCCUCACUUGUUUGAGAACUAAGUGGAGGUGAGAAUUUAGACUUUAAAGUCCUAAAUAAGCUUGGUGUCGUUGAGUUGUUUCGAGGACGAAACUCCUUUUAAGGGGAGGAGAUUGUGAGAUAUUGAAUCUCGAUGGAAUUUGGCUAACUUUGGCCAAAUGGACCAAAGUGGGCAAUUGAACGGUUUGGACAAGUUCCAUUCGGCGUUCCAACAAGUUUGGAAGAGCUAAAAUGAGUUCCAAAGGUGUUGGAAUGGUUUUGACAUCGAUCGGCGCGAAGUAGAGCCGAAAAAGGGAUGAAAAAUAGCUUUCUGGAGCUUUUGUACCGGUACAAGAGUGAUGGUUGUACCGGUACAACCAUCGCAGCUCUCGAGUUGGAAGCUGCCAGACCUUGUACGGUACAAGGGGGUCUUGUACCGGUACAAGCCCUGCGAAACCGAGAAACCGAACCUCGGGUUGGGCUGUCUGCCAGGCCUUGUACCGAUACAAGAACCCAUGUCCGGUAUAAGGGACCCCGAACAGCAGGUAUGCUUUGAAAAAUAAAAUAGUUGAGGGGCUUUUUGGGUUUUGUUACAUUAGAGGACUUAUACCCCUCUCCCUCAGCCACUCUCUCUCAUUUUCUCUCCCUCUCUCUCUCACCCCUCUUGCUCUCUCUCUCUCAAACCGAAAAAAAAGGAAAGAAAGAGAAGAAGAAGGAGAAAAGAAGGAGACAAAGAAAGAGAAGAAGAAGAGAAGCAAGGAGAAGAUCAAGGAGAAGGAAAAGAAGCUCUCUCCCUCAUCUUCCUCAAGCUAGGGCUUGCUUUGGAGCAAACCCUAGAGGUAAGCCUCAACCCUAACUUGAGAUUUCUAGGGUUUGUAGCUUUUUGUUGGUUUUAAGGGUUCUAAUGGACCCUCUUGGGUUUAGAGAUGAUGGAUCUAGCUCAAACUUGAAGCUAGCACCCAUGGUUUCCUCAUAGAUGCUAGACCUAGGUUUUAAAAAGGGUUUUGUUGCUUAAGAGUGGUUUAAAUGGAAACCAUUGGAGCUUAAGAGAAGGUUCAAUCUCAGAUUUGGAGCUUGAAACCACGAUUUCUCUAUUAUUGCAAACCUAGGGUUUGAUUUUGGGGCUUUUGAAAAUAUGAGGGAUUGAUCUAUUUUGAUGGGUUAGAACCUAAUUCCUAUGCUCCCAAACGCGUAGGCGAAGACGGUUCGUCGAUCCGACGAGCGAGCGCGGAGCUAUCGCCGAUUUGGUCGCUCUAGGGUUCGUUUUGACCCAAGGUGUGGAAGCGGCGCACGUGGACCGCGACGCCGAGUUUCUUAGCUUUUGGCACUAUCAAAGGUGGGUGGUGACCAUCCCGAAGCAGCUGGACUGCUCCCUAUGUUUAAGUAUUUUUAAUUGAUUAAGUUGCAUCUUGUGCAUGUUGCAUAUAGGGUGUUAGAUGAUGAUUGCUAUAAAUUAUUGCAUGCUAGUAUGUGGUUAGCUUUACCGUGGCUUUGGUUCUAGUAUGCACGAAUAGAACUUGAGAUAGUUAACCCUAUAUAUGAUAAGUAAUGUUUAUGUAAAUGGGAACCUAGUAUGAUACAACUAGUGUUGAGAUUAAGUCAAAUGACAAGUGGCAUGAGAACAAUGUGAUGAAACCUAUAUGUGAUAUGGUAUGGUAAGUUGGAAUCUAGGUAAAUGAGACCUAGUAAAGUGCAACUGAUGUUAAGACCAUGUUAAAUGACGAGUGACAUCUAGUUGUAGAUAACUACGACGAGUGGCAUCUAGUUAACUUUAAACUUGACGAGUGGCAUCUAGUUAUUGUGAAACAUGAGAACAUUAGUGUGGUUGGAAACACUAUGAGAUCAUCCUUAGUUGGUAGGAUGUUGUUGUUCGAGAGUUAUUGUCUAGAGUUGUAGGGUAUCCUCUUUGACGGGGAUUUGAUCUUACACCUAUGUCUGUUCGAAGCUUGGUGUGGUCGCUCUACACAAGCGGUGCACUCCGGAGUUGUCACACGAUAGGGAUAGCCUUUUUGGGUCCCGAGGGGUUAGCCUUUUUGGGCCCCGCAGACGGUUGGUCGAGUGAGUAGUUCUCACCUUGAGUAAGCGGUUCCUCGCCAUGAGAUUGAGAAUUGGUCGAGUGAGUAGUUCUCACCUUGAGUGAGCGGUUCCUCGCCAUGAGAUUGAGAAUUGGUUGAGUGAGUAGUUCUCACCUCGAGUGAGCAGUUCCUCUUCUACUAGAUUGAGUUUGAGAGUUGGGUUGUUGGUCAGGUGAGUGAGUGGAUCCUCCCCGUGGUGUUUGGGUUGUGAGUCGGGUGAGUGAGCGGAUCCUCACCAGUGUGUUUGGGUAACCUGAUGAGUUACAUUGUUAGUGAGCAUAGUAGUAUAGUAGCUGCUUUUAUUACCUGUUCAUGCAUUCAUAGCAUUGGAUCGAGGCAUAGUUUUAUAUAUAGCAUUUCCACCUGCCUUACUAUCACCUAAUUAUAUUGUUCUAUUAUGCCCCGAGAGUGAAAAUUUGGAACGAAUCGAUAUCAGCCUUCACAAGAACCAAAACCGGAAUAAUACUAGACUACUCAGUUGCGCCCUAACCGUAUAAAUUAGCAACGAGUACUUUUUCUUAUUCAAUCGAACAGAGAGUAAAACCUAAUUAUAUUGUUCUAUUAUACUGUAGCUAAGCAAAGUUUAAAUGUGAGAGCCCCGUUUUAUCUUCUUAUAUUAAUCCAAAAUGCGAAACAAGCUAUCUUUCUCUUUUUCAUGAGCAACGUUUCAACAGGACAAUACCGCGUUGACUCAUCAGAUUAUAACAAGGCCAAAACCAAGAAUAUUUGCAGCUGUAACUAAGUAAGUUUUAAAUGUGAGAGUUCCGCAUGAUCUUGUUAUAUUAUGCCAAAAUGCGAAACAAGCUAACUUACUCUUUUUCAUGAGCAACGUUUCAAUAGGACAAUCUCGCGUUGACUCAUUAGAUUAUAACAAGGCCAAAACCAAAAACACUUGCAAAUGUAGCUAAGUAAGGUUUAAAUGUGAGAGCCCCGUAUUAUCUUGUUAUAUUAAUACAAAAUAAGAAACAAGCUAACUUACUCUUUUUCAUGAGCAACGUUUAAAUGUGACAAUCCCGCGUUGACUCAUCAGAUUACAACAAGGCCAAAACCAAGAAAACUUGCAACUGUAGUUAAGCAAAGUUUAAAUGUGAGAACCCCGUAUUAUCUUGUUAUGUUAAUCCAAAAUGAGAAACAAGCUAACUUACUCUUUUUCAUGAACAGCGUUUUAAUAUGACAAUACCCGCGUUGACUCAACAGAUUACAACAAGGCCAAAACCAAGAGCACUUGCAACUGUAGCUAAGCAAGGUUUAGAUGUGAGAGCCCCGUAUUAUCUUUUUUUAUUAAUCCAAAAUGAGAAACAAGCUAACUUACUCUUUUUCAUGAGGAACGUUUAAAUAUGAUAAUUCCGUGUUGACACAUCAGAUUACAACAAGACCUAAACCAAGAACACUUGCAACUGUAGCUAAGCGAGGUUUAAGUGUGAGACCCCCGUAUUAUCUUGAUAUAUUAAUCCAAAAUGAGAAACAAGCUAACUUACUCUUUUUCAUGUGGAACAUUUAAAUAUGACAAUACCGCCUUGAAUCGUCAGAUUACAAUAAGGCCAAAACUAAGAAAACUUGCAACUGUAGCUAAGCAAGGUUUAAAUUUGAGAGCCCCGUAUUAUCUUGUUAUAUUAAUCGAAAAAGAGAAACAAGCUAACUUAAUCUUUUUCAUGAGCAACGUUUCAAUAUGACAAUACCGCCUUGACUCAUCAGGUUAUAACAAGGCCAAACCAAGAAUACUUGCAACUGUAGCUAAGGAAGGUUUAAAUGUGAGAGCCCCGUAUUAUCUUGUUAUAUUAAACCAAAAUGAGAAACAAGCUAACUUACUCUUUUUCAUGAGGAACGUUUAAAUAUGACAAUCUCGCGUUGAUUCAUCAGAUUACAACAAAAUCAAAACUAAGAACACUUGCAACUGUAGCUAAGCAAGGUUUAAAUGUGAGAGCCCCGUUUUAUCUUGUUAUAUUAAUCCAAAAUGACAAACAAGCUAACUUACUCUUUUUCAUGAGCGACGUUUAAAUAUGACAAUCCCGCAUUGACUCAUCAGAUUACUACAAGGUUAAAACCAAGAAUAUUUAUAACCGUAGCUAAGCAAGGUUUAAAUGUGAGAGCCCCAUAUUAUCUUGUUAUAUUAAUCCAAAAUGAGAGACAAGCUAACUUAUUCUUUUUCAUGAGCAGCGAUUAAAUAUGCCAAUCCCGCGUUGACUCAUCAGAUUAUAAUAAGGCCAAAACCAAGAACACUUCCGACUAUAGCUAAGCAAGGUUUAAAUGUGAGAGCCCCGNNNNNNNNNNNAAGCAAGGUAUACAUGUACCCAAUCUCAUAGUGUCUCAACUACACUAAUGUUUAGAUCAAGAUCAUCAUCAAUCAUAUGCCACCCGUCAUAGUUUUCUAACUAGAUGCCACUCGUCAUUUAGACUCAUUAUCAACACUAGUUUCAUCAUACUAGUUCUUUAGCAACAUAAGCAUUAAUCAUCUCAUAUAGGGUCUAGGUUUUCAUCAAGCAACCAUCAUGCAUACUAGAUCAUAAACCAACCAAGCAAGAUAUAUAUUUAUUGGACUACUAGUAUGCAAGUAUAAGCAACAAUAAUCAUUUUUCUAACCCUAUAUGCAUUAUGCACAAUAUGCAAAUAGAUCAAUUUGAACUUAGACAUAGAAGGUGGCCCGAUGGCUUCGGGAUGGCACUCCCCCACCUUGGGUGAUGCCGCAAGCACUCCGAGACGCGUUCUCGUGCUAGUCUUGUCGCCGCUUAAUUUUCGUUGGGUUAACUUUAACCCUUUAGCGCAUCAAUUGGCGAUAUCUUCGCACUCACUAGUCGGAUCGACGAACCGUCUUCGCCUACGUGUUUAUAAGCAUAAGAAUUAGGUUUCUAACCCCUCAAAAGAGAUCAAACCCUAAUAUUAGCAAAAAUCCCCAAAUCAAAUCCUAGGUUUAGCAACAAUAGAGAAAUCAUGGUUUCAAGCUCCAAAUUUGGGAUUGAAUCUUCUCUUAAGCUCCAAUGGUUUCCAUUUGAACCAUUCUUAAGCAACAAAACCCUUUUCAAAACCUAGGUUUAGCAUAAAUGAGGAAUCCAUGGAUGCUAGCUUCAAUGUGAGCUAGAUCCAUCAUCCCUAAGCUCAUUAGGUUCCAUUUGAACCAAUAAAAGCAACAAAAACCAUCCAAACCCUAGAAAUCCAAAACUAGGGUUAGAGCUUACCUCUAGGGUUUGCUCCAAAGCAAGCCGUAAGCCAAGGAUGAGGUGAAGAAGAGCUCCAAAACCUUCUUCUCCUUCUUCUCCUUCCUUUUCUUCCUCUCUUUUUCCUUCUUUUUCCUCUCUUUUUCCUUUUCUCCUUCUUCUCCUUCUAUUCGGUUAGAGAGAGAGAGAGCUAGAGAGAGAGAGGGGCUGUGAGAGUGAGAGGGGAGAGAGCUGAGAGUGAGAGGGAUAUA